UAGGGUUUCCUCCUUUGGCUUCUUAUAGCUUUUUUCCUUGGGUAAAUCCAACAAAUCAUGUUUAUCUUCUCCUCUUUUUAAAAUUUUUUUUCUAGAAUAAAAAUAAACAUCCCAGGAUUAUCUUCUCCUCUUUUAGGUACAUUUUUUUGGUAAAACUACAGUUGGGCUGAAAUUGGUAUGCAUUGAGUGUUGACUCGGUCUUCCUAGAAUUGCCACAGCAUUCGUGCUAACCAAAUGUCCAACCUUUUGCCCUGGUAAACCUUUACUCCUUUAUUUCUCAUUCCUCAACCUGCACCUGCCAAAGCACCAAACACAACCCUACCAUAAGCAAUUAAAAGUAUCUAUUAUUGAUUUUUUUUGGUAAGUGGUAAUAGGACUUGUAACUAAUAUAGUUUUGGAAAAAAUAUAAUUUUUUUAGAAUCUUUGAGGCAUAUUUUCGAUUGGUAAAUGAGGAGUUUUGAAUCAUAAAAUUAUGAUUUUAUGUUCUACCCCAUGAGACCUUUACAACGAGAUAUCAUAUGCUCAAAAUGGUUGAGUGAUGAAUGAGAAAUUGAUGCUCAAAGUAAGCUACUUGGAAAUUAUGUUGAGAAAAAUGAAAAAGCAUUAAUCCCACAUUUAUUAGGAAUCAAGUGUGGAACUUGUAUAUAUAUGUAAAUCAACUUGGUGGUUAUUAAAUGAGUAAACUAAUGCUCUCCCUCGUGCGCAGGGGGUGCAAAUCUAAAUCCACUGAGGUUGGGGCACACCCGCACGACAUGGGCGUUUCCAAGAUUUUACUCAAAUUGAUUUAAAGGCUUCUUUAAUGCAUAUUUGUAUCUUUAUUCAUGGAAAUUUCUAAAAUUCUUCCACAUUGAAUGCUUAUAAAAGCCUAAAUUCUUUAAAGACACACAACGAAUUUAUUUCACUCUCGAAAAUUCUAUUCCUUUUCUCUCCAAAAUUUUCAAAUGUCCGGUGAUAGAAGAAUGCAAGGUUUGUUCGUUGAUCACUGCAGACGUACUACUGCCGCAAUCAUUUUGUUAUUGUAUCCUGGGAGACAGAUGACCAACAUUUCUCUAAGUACCAUAGGAGCAGCUGAAUCUGUCUUAAGGAAACUGUGAAAACAGGCCUCAGCAUCUAGUAAAACUCGAUUUCCUUAUUCAAUUUCUGGUUUUUCAAUAUCUUGUUUAUAUAAUUAUUUUUUAGAUUUGAUGUUUUAAAUAAAUAUUAAUAUUUAUUUAAUUUAUUUUGUUUAGAUCUGGUGUUUUUACACAAAUAUAGAUAUUUGGUUAUAUUAUUUGUUCAAGAUAUUAUAUUUAAUAUAAAUAUUUACAUUUAUAUUUGUUCGCUAACGUGUUUUGUCCAACAAUAUUAAGACAGAUUUUUAUUAUUUUAAAAUUCUCUAAUCCGAGUAGAACGAGGCACGAAGGCGAAAAAAACAUAUUCUGUCUAAGGAAAAAAUUAAAUUGAAUAAAAUCUAUUUCGGGAUUUAUGAUUGUCGUUCAAUAGAUUUUAUUCCUUUUUUAUUUUGUUUCCAAACAAGAAUUAAUUGAAUAAUUCUAUUUCAGAAUUUAUUCUCGCAUCUCAACAGAUUUUAUUCUAUUUUGAUUUUGUUUCCAAACAAUAAUUAAAUAAAUAAUUCUAUUUCGAGAUUUAUUCCCGCCAUUUAACAGAUUUUAUUUGAUUUUGAUUUUGUUUCCAAACAAGAUUUAAUUAAAUAAUUUUGUUUCAAGAUUUAAUCCUGUCGGCCAACAAAAUUGAUUUUAAUUUUAUUUCAGAAUUUUAACUCUUCCAUUUAACAAAAUCAAAGGGUAAUAUAAAUUUUAAAUUAAAUUUUUUAUUUAUUGUGGCUUUAAUUGUGGCUUUAAAUUGUGAAAGCUUAAAUUGUAGCUUCAAACUUGUGACAUCAAAGAAAAAAAAAUUUAUCAACGGUGAAUUAAAAAAGACAAUAUGAGAGUGCAUGUCUAGGAUUGGUUCUUUGAAAGACUUGGUAUUUAAGCGUGCCAAGUGCACCACCUCUCUUUCAGGGUUACCUACCUGGCACAUUUUUUUUGUCUUUCGAUUAGACCGUGUAAACUUUUGUUUCAAGUUUUAUUAAAUUCCUAUCGUCUAGCAAAAGUUGAUAAUUUUUUUCUAAUUUUGGUUUUGUUUCUGAAAUCUUAACAGAAAAUGGAAACUCCCACCAAUGCUAUGGAAGAUAUGGACUUAUGUGCUGUGAUUUUUGGAGUCAACAUGGUUGACUCACAUCCAAGAGAAUAGUGGCUUGAUACUAGUGCCACACGUCAUAUUUGUUGUGACAAAGACUUCUUUUCUGAGUUGGAGCCUUGUGAAGAUAGGGAGAAGCUCUAUAUGGGCAAUGCUAUGACUUCCAAGAUCAAGGAGAAUGGUACUAUAGUCUUGAAGAUGACUUCUGGUAGAGAACUCAAGCUUCAAAAUGUGUUGUAUGUGUUUGACAUACGCAAGAACCUUAUUUCUGAGACACUCCUUAGUGUACACGGUUUUAAGACGGUGUUUGAAUCCCAGAAGCUAGUUUUGUCUAAAGGGUGAAUGUUUGUGGGAAGGGGAUAUGUAUUAAAUGACAUAUGGAAACUUAAAGCAAUCUCUGUAAAAUCAAAAACUAUGAAUAAGAGUGUUGUUUCUUCUUCUAUUUAUAUGCUUGAGUCAUUUAAUUUAUGGCAUGGUAGGCUCGGACAUGUUGAUUAUGAUACUUUACAUAGAUUAAUUAAUUUAGAGCACAUUCCUUCAUUUCACAUUAGUUAUAAACAUAAAUGUGAAACUUUUGUUGAGGAAAAAUUAACAAUGCUUUCGUUUGAAACUAUUGAAAGAAAUAUAGAACCACUCGAUCUAAUACAUAGCAAUGUUUGUGACUUAAUGUUUGUUCAAACCAGAGGAAGGAAUAAAUAUUUUAUUACCUUCAUUAAUGAUAGCACAAAAUAUUGUUAUGUAUAUUUGCUUCAGAGCAAAAACGAAGUUAUAGAGAAAUUUAUUCUCUAUAAACAGGAAGUUGAAACCUAACUUAAUAACUAAGAUGGUAAGAAGUGAUUGUGGUGGUAAAUAUGUUGAACCAUUUAGUGAAUACUGUGCACAACAUGGUAUUAUUCAUGAAGUGACACCACCAUACACUUCUCAAUCAAAUGGAAUAACCGAGCGAAAAAAUCAGACUCUAAAGGAAAUGAUGAACGCAUUACUAGGAAGCUCUGGGUUAUCACAGAACAUGUGGGGGGAAGCUAUUCUAUGAGCUAAUUACCUUUUAAAUAAGGUUCCCUACAAGAAAAUGGACAAUACACCAUAUGAGUUAUGGAAAGGUAGAAAACCUUCCUACAACUACUUGAAACUGUGGGGGUGUCUUGCAAAGGUAAUGGCUCCAUUACCAAAGUAAAUGAAAAUAGGUCUUAAAACGGUGGAUGUAUUUUCAUAGGCUAUGUAGAUCAUAGAAAUACAUAUAGGUUUUUUGUGUAUGAAUCAAAGAAUCCUGACAUUCACAAGAAUAUUAUAUUGGAAUCAAUGAAUUCUUUAUUCUUUAAAAAUAUCUUCCCUUAUAAAGCUAGGGAAGUUUAUUCAAGUUCAACAAAAUGAACUUCAGAGACUAUAGAAGAAAAUAGUCAAGACGAGGUUAAAACUAUGAUAGAGCCAAGAGUAAACGAGUAACACUGCAAAAAUCUUUUGGAUCAGAUUUUCUAACCUUUAUGCUAGAUGCUAAACCUCAAACAUGUGAUGAUGCUAUACGGUCAUCUAAAAGCACUUCAUGGAAAGAUGCUAUUAAAAGUGAAAUUGACUCCAUCAUGUAAAAUCAUACAUGAGAAUUAGUGGAUCUUACUCUAGGAAUUAAACCAUUAAAUUCUAAGUGGAUUUUUAAAUGAAAAAUGAAAGCAGAUGAAACAAUUAACAAGUACAAGGUCAGAUUGGUUAUAAAAGGUUAUAGAUAAAAAAGAAGGCCUACUUUGAUACUUUUUCUCCAAUAUCCAGGAUAACUUCUAUAAGGAUGAUACUUGCAAUUGUCGCCUUAUAGAAUCUAGAAGUACAUCAAAUGGAUGUUAAAACAACUUUCCUAAAUGGAGAUCUUGAUGAAGAAAUUUACAUAGAACAACCUGAGGGUCAUGUAAUUCUAAGACAAGAAAGGAAAGUUUGUAAAUUGGUGAAGUCUUUAUAUGGACUUAAGCAAGCACUAAAACAAUGGCAUUAAAACUGUUCGACAAUGCCAUGAUGACAAAUGGCUUUAAGAUUAAUGAAUGUGAAAAUUGUGUGUAUGUCAAAACUACCGAUAUUGGAUAUAUAAUCCUAUGCUUAUAUAUUGAUGACAUAGUCAUUGUUGGGAGUAACAAUGAAAUGGUAAAACGUGCCACAGACAUGUUAAAUUCAACGUUUGACAUGAAAGAUAUGGGACUAGCAAAUGUGAUUUUAGCAUCCAAAUUAAGAGGUCAUAUGAAGGUCUGAUAUUGACUUAGCCACACUAUGUGGACAAGAUUCUUGGGAAAUUUAGCAAGGAUGAUUCCGGUAUAGCCAAAACUCCAAUAGAUACAAGCCAACAUUUGUCCAAAAAUAAAGGUGAAAGUGUUGACCAAGUGGAAUAUGCAGGGGUCAUAGGCAGUCUAAUGUACCUUAUGAGUUGUACUAGACCAGAUAUUGCUUUCACUGUGAGCAGUUUAAGCAUAUUCACAAGCAAUCCAGGGGAAAACCAAUGGAAAGUAAUUGUGAGGAUACUGAGAUAUCUUAGAUAUACUCGGGACUAUGGAUUGCAUUAUUCCAAAAAUCCUAUUGUUUUAGAAGGAUUCUCCUGUGCCAGUUGGAUAUCUGAUAUUCAAGAUACCAAAGGCACAAGUGGAUAUGUUUUUACAUUAGGAGGAGGAGCUAUGUCAUGGAAAUCCCCAAGACAAACGAUUAUAACCAGAUCCAUAAUAGAAUCUGAGUUUGUAGCUCUAGACAAAUCUGGAGAAAAGGCUAAAUGGCUUCGAAACUUCUUGGAAGAUAUUCCUGACUGGCCAAAGCCUGUGCCCACAAUAUGUAUAUAUUGUAACAAUCAAGCAACAAUUGGUAGAGCACAAAAUGUAAUAUAUAAUGGUAAGUCAAGACAUAUGCGUCGUUGACACAAUACUUGUAGACAACUGAUCUCAAAUGGAGUUAUCUCUAUUGAUUUUGUAAAAUCAAAAGAUAACAUUGUGGAUCCGCUAACUAAAUGCUUAAAUCGAGAUCAGGUUAAUAAAACAUCGAAAGGAAUAGGACUAAAGCCCAUGGAAAUUAAAGGCGCUAUGUAAAGGAAAACCCAACCUAGUUGACUGGAGAUCCCAAAAUCUAAGUUCAAAUGGACAACCUAAUUGCAUAGGCCUUGUGAGGUCACUAUAGGGGUUCUUAUUCCAAGUCCGUUCCUAUGAAAUAAACAGUAAUUUAAAGUGAGAUAGGUUAAGUAAAGCUUUUAAUGACCAUUGUGUGUUUCGGAAAGCCAAGCAACAUAAGUCACCUAUGUUAGAGUGAAGUGGGGCCGCUUCGAGGAGACUAUUGUGCAUAGUUCUCUCAAAAUCUUGCAGAACCAGGAAAUGUUCAUGGUCAUAUAAACAUACCUAUGAGAACGAAGACCUUGCUAGGGAGGUAGUUGUGUAAGGUAUAUCAUUGUUUACACAAACGACAGAACAGUUCAAGGAUAUUGCGUCAACUAGUCAGCUAGUAAAAUAAAUAUACUUUCACAAUGUAAGGUUCAAGGGUUGAUGUCUGCCUAUCAUAUGCAACUAUCAAUCGUAGAAUCUAUCACCACAUCCAGCCAAUGUUUUUCAUUAAACCUAUCAAUUUCAUUCAUGUGGGGUAUUGUUGGAAAAAUAUGAUUUUUUGGAAUCUUUGAGGCAUAUUUUCGAUUGGUAAAUGAGGAGUUUUGAAUCAUAAAAUUAUGAUUUUAUGUUCUACCUCAUGAGACCUUUACAACGGGAUAUCAUAUGCUCAAAAUGGUUGAGUGAUGAAUGAGAAAUUGAUGCUCAAAGUAAGCUACUUGGAAAUUAUGUUGAGAAAAAAUGAAAAAGCAUUAGUCCCACAUUGAUUUGGAAUCAAGUGUGGAACUUUUAUAUAUAUGUAAACCAACUUAGUGGUUAUUGAAUGAGUAAACUAAUGCUCUCCCUCGCGCGCAGGGGGUGCAAAUUCAAACCCAUCGGGGUUGGGAAACACCCGCACGACGUGGGUAACGCGAAAUGUCCGGAUCGAUCAGGCCCUUUUAGGCCUGCGAAUAUUUUAGCCCAAUACGUAUUUAUUUAUUUUUUUGAGCAGAUAUUAUACAGAAUCUGUUUUAAAAGAACAAAUAUCUCAUUUUGAUUUGAUUCCAAUCAAAUUUGAUUUUAUUUUAUUCAAAUUGAUUUAAAGGCUCCCUUAAUGCAGAUUUGUAUCUUUAUUCAUGAAAAUUUCUAAAAUUCCUCCACAUUGAAUGUCUAUAAAAGCCUAAAGAAUAUUGCAGAAUUCUUUAGAGACGCACAACGAAUUUAUUUCACUCUCGAAAAUUCUAUUCAUUUUCUCUCCAAAUUUUUCAAAUGUUUGGUGAUAGAAGAAGGAAAGAUUUAUUUAUUGAUCACUGCAGAAGCACUACUCCCAUGAUCAUUUUGUUGUUGUUUCUUGGGAGACAGACGAUCAACGUUUCUCCAAGUACCAUAGGAGCUGUCGAGUCUAUCUUACGGAAACUGUGAAAACAGGCCUCAACAUCUAGUAAAAUUCGAUUCUCUUAUUCGAUUUCUAAUUUUUCAAGAUCUUGUUUAUUUAAUUAUUUUUUAGAUAUGAUGUUUUAAAUAAAUAUAAAUAUUUAUUUAAUUGAUUUUGUUUAGAUCCGGUGUUUUUACAUAAAUAUAAAUAUUUGUUUAUAUUAUUUGUUCAAAAUCUUGUAUUUAAUAUAAAUAUUUAUAUUUAUAUUUGUUCACUAAGGUGUUUUGUCCAAACUAUAGCUUCUCAAUAAUUGUCAAAUAUUAUAGUGAUAUGCUUUUUCUUUCAAUAAUUCAUAUCUUCAAGAUUAAAAGGUUUACUUUAGUAUUAUUCUAUUUAUUGAGUGUGUAUUAAUGUUUUGUACAGGAAUCCGUUGGAUUUUGGUCUUGUAUAAAUUAGCUGUGGUUGUGGGUAAAUAAAUGUGUGCCGUUCUUCAUUCUCCGAACAUGCUGAAUAUAAUUAUUGGCAUUUCAAGUGUGGCAUAAUAUAAAACAAUGGUUGGCUUCAUCAUAAUCUGUUUGGAGACUAACGGACCACACUUUGACCUCCAAAUUUAGAAAAUAUUUCCAGAGUUGGAAAUUGUAAUUGUAAUACCCUAAUAUUUGUACACCGCAGUGAACAUGGACAAUCAUGUCAUGAUGCAGAACCAGAAAAUGGUGCCAACUCUCCUUCUUCUCCCCCUCUUUCUUCCAAAACUAUAUCCUCGAAAAUGGUGACAUCAAACUUCCUUUCGUUUAUCAAAGGUUCACCCCUCACAUUACAGGGUCCUGUUCGUAUCUCAAGGCAAUCAAACAUGGAAUCCAUAUAUAUGAUUCUUCCCCAAUCCUUGUUGUAGAUUCUUUGGGGAUACAAGCCUUUUUGUUUGUAUUUAAAUACAAAAAAGGGAGAAAGAAAAGUGCCAUCUACAACUGCAUGCUAAUGAUUGCCAAAAUCACUGUUUGUUUUGUUGGAAGGCUUUCAAUCUUGCGGGGUCUUGAAGAGCCUGUUUCAGUAACUUGCCAUUAAUUCUCUCUUACAUUCCAAUCCUAAAAAAUGCUUCCAUCUUUUAGCUGCAACAGUUUAUAAUCAUCAGAAAGGUCUAGUCAGAAUAAUAUUACCUUCUCCUUUUAAACAGUUUUUUUUUUUUAAAUCAUGCCACUACAACUGUAGCUGCGCUCAUGUUAACAAUUAAUUCCUAUAAUCGACAUCAAAAUUAUAUGAAAGAAUUAACACUUGGUUACCGAGUUACCAUAUUUGAAGAUAACGCGAAAGGUAAAAACACAAAAGGCAAGCAUGACCAAGCAAACAAGGUAUGGACAUUGAUUUUUUUGAAUCGGGAAUGACCAAAUGGGACCGUGAAGAGGUGACAAAGGAGAAAUCAGGCAUUCACGGUUUCCAUUGGAUGAAAUGAGAUAAGAUCACUGUGCUUCUUCCACGUGGCAGGUUGCCAAAGAUAAGGCUUUACCAUUCAAGAAAAGUUUCCACCCUCUUUGUGGUCAUUAUGGUUGUAAUGUCAUCUGAUUUAGGAUCCAACGGUCACCCUGUCUCCCAAACCAAUCUCUAAAUGUGGUGAGCUUAGACCAAAUUUUAUGACUAUAUAUAGGGGAUUGCACCAAGGCAGUGACACUAUUAAGGGAUCAGUGAGACUCUUUUGUAUACCUGUAGCAUAUAGUAAUAGUAAGCAGUAAUAGCAAUGGCCUCCUCCAUGAUCUCAUCGGCAACCAUUGCCACCGUGAACCGCUCCUCCCCGGCACAGGCCAACAUGGUGGCCCCCUUCACCGGCCUCAAAUCUGCCUCUGCUUUCCCAGUCACCAGGAAGGCCAACAACGACAUCACUUCUCUUGCAAGCAACGGUGGGAGAGUGCAAUGCAUGCAGGUACUUGGUGAUGCAUAAAUACCACUUAAAUUACCCCAAGUGUUUGAACACAACAAAUUACAUAAAUUGAAUCAAAUAUAUAUCUUGGCUUUUGAGUACAGGUGUGGCCGCCUCUUGGGAAGAAGAAGUUCGAGACUCUCUCAUACCUGCCCGAUCUUACUCCCGUACAGUUGGCUAAGGAAGUAGAUUACCUUCUUCGCUCUAAAUGGAUUCCUUGCUUGGAAUUCGAAUUAGAGGUGUUUUGGAGCUCUAAAUUAUUCCAUUCCUCCUCUUAAUUUUUUUAGUGGGAUAUUUGAGUUGAUUAAGUGUGUUUUAUAUGUAUGUGCAGGAGGGAUUCGUGCACCGUAAGUACUCGAGCUUACCCACGUACUACGAUGGACGCUACUGGACCAUGUGGAAACUGCCCAUGUUCGGGUGCACCGACUCGGCUCAGGUGUUGAAGGAGCUUGAGGAAUGCAAGAAGGAAUACCCCAAUGCAUUCAUUAGAAUCAUUGGGUUCGACAACGUUCGUCAAGUGCAGUGCAUUAGUUUCAUUGCCUACAAGCCUGAAGGCUACUAAGUUGUUUACUUCCCUCCUAGGAAUUCCAUUUGUUUCAAAGUUGUACUUAAAUUAAGCCCCUCAAGCCCCCCCCCCCUUUUUCUUUUUCUUUUUUAGUUGAGUUAUUUGGCUUGGGGUCUCUCUUUGUUUUGUUUUUGGAUUUCCAAUGGAACGGCUGAGAACUAAUGAAUAAAAAGGUAGUUUCUUGCCAUAUUUCAUGAAUCCAGUUCUUCCUCCAUUUUCAGUGCUAAGAUAUUCAUGUUAAGAUAGGAUAAAAAUUAAAAGAAAAAAAGGUGAUUGGGUGGUCUGGCUUUAAAAUAAGAGGAUAAAGAUUUUGUGGACAAGCAACGCUGUGCUGUUGGAGGCUCAUUAUCUUAGUACAUAGGAAUACACCAAAGAAACCAUUUUUAUUAAAUUGUUUUAUUAUGACAUCACAAGUUUCUAUUAUUAAAAUAACAACUUAAAAAGGCUAAAUUCAAAUAUAUAUAUAUAUAUUCUGCAUUCAAUCUAUUUCCUCGUUAAAUAUUAAAAUCACUAUUGGUAUAGUGAUAAAUGAUUUGCAUUACAUAAGUUUUAGUUGACAUCUUCGAGCUUAAUUUAAAAAUAAUAAUAAUAAAUUUAAUACAUAAUAUAUUUUUAUUUUAUCAUUUUCACCCUAAAUUUUUUUUAAAGUCAAAUAAUAGUUUGUUUUGAAUAGAAAAAUUGAAGAAACUAUUAAAUUUUUAAUAACACCAUGUGACAAUUUAUAUGACAGUUUACAUAUAUUUCAUUAUUUAUGUAGAUAAUUUUUUAAAAGAAAUUACAAUUUUUUUAAAAAUAUUAUUUUUAAUUUUAUAAAUUACAUCAUGCAAACUAUUGCAUCAAUGCCAUUUAAAUUUAAAAGAUGUAGUCACUUUUUCCAUCUAAAAAAAGCAAUUUAACUAAUUUUCAAGGUUGACGGUAAAAUAUCCAAAAAAAAUAAAAUAAAACUAAAAUACUAAAAAAGUAUUGAAUUUAUUAUUAUUUUAAAAAUAAUGAUUAUGAUUUUCUUUAUUAGUUUUUAACCCAACAUGGAAAAGGAAAACCAUAAUAAUGCUUAUUAAUUAUAAUAUUGAAUAAUACUAGUAGCUCUAUGUUCUUAAACUCAAUUUCAUUACAAAAAUUGUAACUCAAAGGGUUAGGAUUUUUUGUUUUCUAAUUUGUGAUUAAUUAGUGGACUAUAAUUUCCAUUCUCUUUUUUAUAUAAAAAAAACCCUAAUAUUAAGGAUAGCUACAUUUGUGGAGGAACCAAAAGAUAGAGAAAUUCAGAUAAGAAUUGUCUCCCUCUCCCUCUCAGUCGAAGUGCGUCAAUAAUUGGAAUAGAGCUCUAAAAAUGCAAUUCUAGAAAAAAAAAUUUGCCUAUCAGAUAUUAGUUUAAAUAUUGGUUAAAUUGCAAUUCGAAUAAGUAAUUAGGAGUAGAAAAUAUAAAAAAUGACACUAACGUAAUUCAAAAAAUUUCACCAUGUAUAAGGUUUUGCUCAAAAAUUGACAUUAAAAAUUUGUUCGCACGGUUCAAAAAAAAUUUCCAUUUAUAAGGUCUUACUUAAACAUUAAAAUAUAAUUUAAAUUAAACUCACUCUCAUUAAAUUUUUUUUAAAAAAAAGCUUAGUUAUAAACUAAUCGAUAAAAAUAUAUUACUUACAAAGAAUUUACACUCAGAUAGAUUUCUAAUAUAAACAGAAUAAAUACUCUCUCAACUCCUCUAAAAAAAUCGAAAAUACAUUUAAAUAGGCAUUAUGGUAAUUUUUAAAAUGGUAAUGUGAUCAAAAUGAAUAUGGGAAAUCUCAUUUCAAUUAAAUAACUUAUUAUAAAAUAUAAUAAAAGAGAUUUUCUUAAAUCAAUCUCUUUUAAAUGAGGUAGGCAUAUUACAUAAAGAUUCUUUGAAAUUUUUCACUUCAUUCAAUUUUUUUCAAUAUUGUAAUUUACUUAAAAAUAUAUAAAUAUAUACAUGUUAAGUAAAUUAUAAUAUUUUGUCGACUUUUGGCCUUUCCUUAAGUCGCAACUAACAUUAUAACUGAUGUUAACAAAAUUCAUAAUUGUUUCUCUACCAUGUGUAGCCUAAAAAUGUUAAGAUUAGAGAAGCAAUACGUAAAAGAUAAAGAAAAGAACCAUAAAAGUCAUUGUUUUUUUUUUUAAUUUUAAGAUAUGUUUUAAAAAAAAAAAGAAAUUAAAGUAUUUAUUCUGUUAAAUUGGAUAGUAAUUAUCUAAAAUUUUAAAAUACACACUAAAACAUUCUCAAUCAUUAAAAUUUUUUAUUUAUAUCUUACGGCCUGUUUAGUAUUACUUCUCAGAAGUAUUUUUUAAGAUAAAAUGUAUUUUUGAGAUAAAAUAUAUUUUAAAAAAGUACUUUCUUUACCAAAAGUAAGAGGAAAUUUAAACUUUAACUCAAAAAUACUUUUUAACCCAAAGCGCUUUUAAAAAAUAUUACUAAAUUAUCUCUUGUAAGUACAAAAAAAAAUAUAUCAAAUUUGAAAAUAUAUAUAUUUCGCAGGUUACUGAAAUAUCUUAAAUAUUUGAGAAAAACCAACCAGAAUAAAUCCAUCCAAUGGAAUACUGAGAAAAAAUAAAAUAAUAGUUGUAAGAAAAUGAGUGGCGUCACAUUUACACUAAUGGUUUCCCAAGUGGUACAUGAGAAGUUUUUAAGGCUCCUAUAAAUUUAUUUUCGGGACCAUAAACGUAGACCUACCAAUAAUUGCAUUUGUUUUCUUUUUAUACUUUUAUAACUCAUAAUAUUGUAUAUUUAUAUAAAUCCCAAUUUUUUCACUCAUAUAAAAUAUAGUGUUAAAUUCGAAUGAAAAAAGAUGUUAAAUUUGUGUUGGGUAAAAAUAUAAGAAUUUUAUGUUAUUUGCAAAAUAUUCCGUGGUAUUUAUGUUAGAACCGUAAAUAAUAUCUAAUAUAAAUUAAAAUUGUAAAUUAGGAUCUGUCAUGUCAAAUUAUUAAGAAUAUAAAUCAAGAAAAAAAUUAGAUGCGGGAGCAUACUUAAAUUUACCGAUUUCUUGAAAUCUACGGAUCUUGGAGUUUUGAUCUUCCAAAUUAGCAUAUAAGUAAUCUAAAGAAUGUGACUCUCUUUUGGCAUAAACAAAAACACCAAAGCAAUUCACGCAUAUACGUGUAUUCAAAAUCAGAUAGAAAAAACUUAUCAUGCAUAUAUAAUGUAAAUCUAAAAUUGUAUUAAUGAUUAAACAGAGAUUUGCAUGAAUACUUGAAAAAUACAUUCAAGCUAAUAAAUCUCAAAAAAUAAAAUCAUAAUAGUUAAUAUAUCCCAUAGUUCAUAUUGUAGACCAUAUCAACAUAAUUUAACUAAAUAUUUGGAACCAUAAAAUGCCAAAACCUAAUGUUGUAGAACCAACCUUAAAACCAAAUUAUUUAAACAUGUACAUAGUUUACAUGAAUUUGCAUCAAACACCUGUCAAAUUGAAUAUAUAACCAUAACAGAUAAAAAAAAUUAACAACGUCAACGAUAUCCAUCAAAACUUAAUGUCACCAAUUAAUCUAUAAAAUGUAUCUUAUUGAAUAAUGGUUAUAAACACCUAUCCACGCAAACUAUAAUCAUGUAUUAAUCCUCAAAAUCAUUGAUAUGCAUAAUAUAUAUACAAUAUAAUAAUAGAAAAAUAAUACUGGCUUGCCUUACAUAUUUUAUGUAAACUCAAAUUUAUAUAUAAAACUUAUUUAUACGCACAAACACUUAAAAAAAUCCAUAACCACCAAAUAUAAAAACAAUCCCAAAUUAUAUAAAGGCCUUCAGCGCAACUACUUAUAAAAAUUUAUAGCCACCAUAAAAAAAACCCAAAUAUUGUAAUUUUAGUCGGGUUCCAUAAGAAACUUAUAUAAAAUAAUUAUAACAGAAACCAAGUAAUCAUUCGUAUAUAUGAAUUGAAUUCAAUCGUGAAUAUAAUUCAUCAUGAAUAAAGACAAAAGAUGAUAAUUCCAUAUACAUUUAACCACAAAUAGAAAAUUUAAAAUAAAUACUGCAGAAAAAAAUAUCUUAACAACAUUUAUUUAUUCGAUUAUCAAGUGAAUUACUAUUCAAAACCAAUUAUAUAACCCAAUUGAAAUUCUUCAAUUGCAAAAAGUUGUAAGUCUGUAACUUUAAUCUAAUAAUAACUUUAACCAAAAUUUAUAAAAUAAGUGUGCGAAAAGGAGAGAAAGAAAUCUCACAAAUCUAUUUUUAUCAAUUGAUUAUAAAUAAAUAAAUAAACCUUCAUCUUUCGAAUAACAUACGCAAAUAUUAAACUAGAUUAUAUUUAUAAAACCCUAAACUUUAUUUAAAGAAUCAAAACCCAAAAAUUUUAUUAAGAAUCUCAAAGAUUUAACAUAGUAUAUAAUUAAAAUAUCAAAUCCAUAAAUUUAAAAAAGAAAAAUGAAUCAAUCCAAAAAUAAUAAAGAAUCAAUUCAUUCCCUAUUAUUCAACAUGACAAGCUCUAAUGCCACUUGUUAGAACCGUAAAUAAUAGCUAAUAUAAAAUUAGAACUAUAAACCAGGAUCUGUCAUGUCAAAUCAUAAGAAUAAAUCAAGAACAAAAUUAGAUGCGGAAGCAUAGCUGAAUUCAUCGAUUUCUUGAAAUCUACGGAACUUGGGGUUUUGGUCUUCCAAAUUAGCACACAAAUAAUCUAGAGAAUAUGGUUCUCCCUUUUCUAAAGAUGGGAUAUUAGAAAUGUUACAUUGUAUGUAAUUUGGAAACCAUAACCAUAAUAUAUAUAUAUAACUUUGGCACAUUAGCCCUAAUUUCUAAUCAACUCAUCAUCAAUUAAAAAUUAAUUACUAGAGUAUCUACACAUAUUUGACCCAUAUUUUUUUUAAUAAUUAAAGCCCAAUAAACCGUAACCAAAUUAAAUCACUUUUAAUUUAAACUAACCUAUUAAAAUAAUAAAUAAUAACAUGUAAUUACCAUUAUUAUUAUAUAUAAUAAUAUAUAAUACUAUUAUUAUUAUAUAUGUAAUGUCCAGAUUUCUAUCUAUUUAUAUAAAUCUCUCCUAAAUUAUGCUUUCACGAACUUGUAAGAGUCAAAACUGUCGAAAGCUACUUAUGGGGUGUGGCUGUAUAAUAGAUCGAUCAAGGUAGUGCUGAGCGAGUUUUUGUUUUUGUUUUUGUUUUUCUUAUAUAUAUACUCUAUACAGUUAGGUUGAUACACACGUGGAAGGAAUAUGUUAGAAAAAUUAAAUACUAAAAUAAGAAAUAAAAUAAUGGUUUAAAACAUGUAAAACAUUUUUCUUAAAACUUUAAAAUAUUUUUAAAUUACAUCAGCACUUCAAGUAAAAUAAUAAAAAUAUUAAUAAAAAUCCAUUUAUAUAAACAUCCAAUAGGUGAUAUAUCCUUUCAUAAGGAUAUAUAUUUUAAUGAAACACCCUUUUAUAAGAUUAUAUUGUUUUAUAAUAUAACUUUACAUAAAAUUAUAAUUUUAUUAGAUAAUUUUAUAUAUAAAAAUUUUAUCUUUACAAUACAAUUAUUUGAUAAAUAAUUAUAAUUUUUUUACAUAAUAAAAUAUUAUUACUACCAAUAUUAUAAACUAUUGCAAAAAGGAUACUCACACUAUAUAUUAGACCUGUCCAUGGGCCGGGCCGGGCCCAGAAAAAUUUUUGGCCCGCCUCUUAGGCCCGGGCCCGGCCCGAAAUAUGGACAUGAAAUUUUGCCCAGACCCGGCCCGAGAAAAAUAUCAUAAGUCCGAGCCCGGCUCGGCCCGGCCUAUUUUUAAUAAACAUUAAAAAAUUAUUUUAAAAAUAAAAAAUAAAAAAAAUUUAAAAGUAUUUUAAAAUUAAAAAAUAAAAAUAAAAAAUAUAUAUUUAUUAUAUUCGGGCCGGGUCGGGCCGGGCCGGGACCAAAAAAGUGAUGCCCGAGACCUUACCCGUUUUUUAAACGGGCCUUAUUUUUUUACUCAAGCCCAUAUUUCGGGCGGGGCAUUGGGUCGGGCCGGGCAUGGACAGGUCUACUAUAUAUGCACACCCUCCGUUCAAAGAGUGUUAUCUAAAUAAAAAUUUACCCAAUUCUUUAAAUCUAAAAAAUUAUAUAAAUCAAUAUCUUUUAACCACUAAACAAAACAUAAAAGUUAACGGUGGACAGUGAAUUGAGUUGAUUAUAUUUAGAACAUCACAUCACAGCCACAUCAGCUUCCAAAAUAAUAUGAAAAAGAGUUAUCCAAAUGUGAAGCUACCAAUGUCCCGACUCUUAGCUGCUUCAACCAUUCCAUUACUAUCUCCCAACCACCCUGCCUUUGCCUCCCCUUUCUUUAUUGAUCUCGUUCGCUCGCUUAAAUUUUAAUCCUACUUUUAAUUUUAUAUUUAUUAUAUUAAAAAUUCCAUUGAAAAAUAUUUCAAUAAUUAAUUGAGUUCUCAAAUAGGAUAAUACUCAAUUGAGUUUUUAAUUAAAUUUAACUACUCAAUCGAAUCCUCAAUCGAAUUUAAGCAAUUAAUUAAAUUCUCAUCUUUUAACAUUGUUAACUUGUCAAUGACUUCAUCACGUGUUAUGCCAGGGUUGUGCCCCGUAACGAAAUUUGGUAAUUUUUAUUAUAUUUAUUUUAAAAAUAAUAAAAAAUUUAAAAAAAUAAAAAAAGGCAUUUAAAAUUUUAGAACAUUAAAAGAAAAAUUAGACUUUAAAAAAAUUAUUAAAAAUUAUAAAAAUAGAAUUCAUUAAAAAGCAUAAUUUUUUUUGAAAUUUUAGAAAAAAAUUUAGAAAAAUAGAAUUUAGAAAAAUUAUAAAAAAAUCAUAAAAAAAUUGUAAAUAUAAUUUUUAAAAAUUAUAAAAAAUGGAAAUAUUAAAAUAUUAAAAAUAAUAGAAAUCAUUUAGAAAAUAAAAUAUAAAAUAUUUAAAAAUUAUAAAAAAAUUUAAAAAAUUAGAUAUUUUAGAAUUUUUUAUGCUUUUUAAUGAUUUUAUAAAAAAAACAUUUUUUAAUAAUUUUUAUAAAUUGUAUAUUUUUAAAAGUUUCAAAAAAUUUAGAUUUUUAAAAAUAUUUUUUUAUGAUUUUUUAUAAAAAAUUAAAUUACCAAAUUUCGCUACGUGGCACAACUCUAUUGUGCCACAUGAGGGAGUUAAUGUUGUGUAGGGGCUUCCACAGAAAGUGUUGAUUUGAAUGAUUAAUUGAGUGCUUAAGUUUGAUUAAGGACUCAAUUGAGUGUUGCUUUUGAUUGAGAACUCAAUUGUUUAUUGAAUUAUUUUCAAGUGACUUUUUUAUAUAAUAAGUAUUGUGGGGUGUGCCUCGCAUUUAUCGGAUAGUUUACAGACACUUACCAAAGUCAGCCAGCAAUGUCACGACGAGAAGCUUCUCGAAGUUGCGAUGACGGACGACAUUAUGAUGAUGUAAAUGAGGACGUUGCGAUGUGACAACGUGUUUCCCACAAACAUCGAAUUUCUUUUCCUAAUUAAACUAUGUUAUCUUUUCCCAGUCGAACUCUAAUUACUCUAGGGAUAUUUUAGUAAUAUUAUGACUUUAAUAUUAGCCUAUUUAAAUGGUUUUUGUAACCCUAUUUUAGAGAGUUAAUAUAGAAUAUCUCUUAUGUGAGAUUUGAUGAAGAGUUUUGGGGAGAGUUUUGGAAAGAGCUUUGUAUUUAGGUUUUUGAGUUUUGCUCUUUUAGGAUUAUUUUCUUUAUCUUGUACUCUCGUAUGUUUACUCAUCUAGUGAAAAGUUGAAGUCUCAUUUGCCCCUGUCCUUUUUAUCCUCUUAACUGAGGGUUUUCCACGUAAAUAUUUGUAUGUUUGAUCUUCUCUAUUUUCUUGUUCGUUGCUUAUAUGGGUCGAUCCUCAACAAACUAGUAUCAGAGCUAGGUUAUGUUUUUGCAAUCGACCCGUUCAAGUAUAAUGACAACGAUUUUGAUAUUGAAAAGUUCAAUGAAAUCAUAGAUUUCAUAUUGUAACAGUUUCGGAUAAAGUAAAGUGUUUAAAGCAAGGUUGGUUGCAAAGGGUGACAAUCAAGUGGAGGGAGUUGAUUUCCUCAAUGCUUUCUCUAUUGUUGUGAAGCACACAUCCGUUCAGGUAUCAUUGGCAUUGGUUGCAUUAUACAACCUUGAUUUGAAGACUAGGAGUCUUUCGGUUUCCAAGUUCGAGAACGGUUUGGGCUUGGUUGACAUUCUGCAAAGAUCAAGUUCUGCUUGUGGCGGGACCUGGAGAAUAAGGUACGGUAAAUACGAGUCAAGGUGAAGAUUUGUAGGGUGUGUCUCGUAUUUAUUGGAUAAUUUGUAGGCACUUACCAAAGUCAGCUGACGACGUCACGAUGAGAAGCUUCCAAACGUUGUGACGAUGAACGACUUCAUGACGACGCAAAUGAUGAUGUUGUGACAUGGCGACAUGUUUCCCACAAACACCGAGUUUCUUCUCUUAAUUAAACUCUGUUAUCUUUUCCUAGUCAAAAUUUAAUUACUUCUGGGAUAUUUUAGUCGUUUCAACCUUUUAAACUUAGUCUAUUUAAAGGGGUCAUUGUAUCCCUAUUUUAGAAAGGCAAUUAAAGAUGUAGUACUAUAGAACUUUUCUUUUGGGGACGACAAUAUGAGUUGCAAAUGAGUUUUAGUGAGAGUUUUCGUAGUAACUAUGGAGAGAAUUUAGUUCCCAAGUUAAGACUUUGUUUUCAAGGUUUGGGUCUGUACAUUUAAUACAUUUAGGUUUAUUUUCUUCAUCUUAUACCCUCGUUUGUUUACUCAUCUAGUAAAAAGUCGAAGCCUCCUUUGCCCGUGAUUUUUAUCCUCUUAAAUGAGGGUUUUCCACGUAAAUAUUUAUGUGUUCGAUCUUCUAUAACUUUUCUAUUUCGAUAUUUAUACAAGUCAAUCUCUAACAAAUAUUAAUUCUAGGAAUUUAAUAAUUGAAAAUCAAUUAAAAAUAUCAUUAAAAGAAUGUGAGAUAUAUAACAUUUUAAAAAUACUCAUGUAUCUAAUAUUGCAAACAUAAAUAAGCAAAAAAACAUUAAAUGUGGAGUUAUAAGGUUUCGAUUCUAAAUUAAAGAUGAUAAGUUUCUUCAGACUCUUUCAACGAAAGAGAUUAAAAGUUUAUUAUUUAUUUAUUUAUUUAUUUUGCUUACAUGAUUUCUACGCUUCUUUCAACCAGCCAAAUGAACCAUUUUCAUUUUAAAAAUGGCAUGUUAUCUAAUUUAAUGAAAUUCCUUAACCGCCUUAUUAACUGAAUUUUAAUUAUUAAAUUUUAAAAAAUAGAAUGAGUAAUUUAAAAAAAAAAAGCACUAAAUUUCAAAAGUAUAAUUAAACUAAAAAGUGACAAAAAAUCAUGUUCAAUCAUAGCUGCUGCUAUAAGGGAUUCGGAAGGUUUUGCAAUGGGUUCUUGUGUAGCUGCUAAGGUCAAAACCAGUCAUGAAGCAAAUGGGAAUUGCUCUCCCAGUGGGAAUUACAGAGGGGAUGUGCAUGCAAUGACCAUCAUCAGGAACCAUGUCGGUUGCUAUCAUAUGAUAAAACAUAAAUAUGAUGCUCAAUACGUCAUAGGAAGAAAAUUUGACAAUUAUUGAAUCAUAAAUUACAGAACAAAAUUCAAUUACCAAUAGGAUCUAUACACAAUUUCCCUUGCUCUUCUCCAUGGUGAUUUACAAAAUCAAAAUAUCAAAUCAUUUAUAUUACGAUUCAUCAUCAUUUGCUCAAUCCCCUGAAAAUUCAAUCCUUUCACAUUGCCUUCCCUUCCAUCCCAGCAAUCAAAUAGAUUUUACCAGACCAAAAACCACAUCAUAUAUACACUAGUACACACAAGUUAAUCUCUUUCUCCCCAAAAAUAAUCCAUAUUUCCCUAAUUCAUCCCUACUUUGUCCUCCCGGACGGUGGCCUUCUAUGUACACUGUAGAUCUAAGCCAUAGCAGGGAUUCUGGAAUUUUGGCUAUCCCUGUUAAGGCAAUCAAAUCCUUCUACUCUAAUUGCCGCUGGUUUUAGCCCAAACGACAUCCUAACACAUCCCCCUUUAUGUGCCGAUGGCGACGGAGAUGGACUUUGCGAUGCUGAAAGGGCUGCAACUCUUUCGUCACCAAAUCGAGCAUCUUGCACAACUGGGUUCGUGGCCCUACUUGGGGGCGAACCACAAAAAAAUGGGGGUGAAGAUGCUACCUGUGCUGCAGAUUGCUCUGCCCAUAAAUCACCCUACAAAAACCGAAACAAAACAACACGAUAAAACAAGUCCAUCCUAGAAACAAAAACAUUAACACACAUAACUCAAACCUCAGAAAUGCAAACAUCCUAUAUUACUCCAAAUUGGAAGUAAAAAUAUAUCCGACUUUUAGAAGCAUUUUCAUAUAGUCGUUUAUUCGGAUAGAAGUGCAAGACGCAAAUACUUUUAAGAACCAUAGCAACUAUCAAAAAGCAAUAUGUAUAUAACAUUAGUAUUUUCACUUCUUUAAAAUACUUAAGAUUCAGUGAUUACCUUGUUGAGGAUGAUAUCUAGAAGUUCUGCACUGGCUUUCGAUUCACUUACAUCGGCUUGGUGACUGGAAUUGAAACCCAAAAAUCAAAAUUAAUAAAAGCAAGCAAAUCAAAUCAACCAAAAUUCCAAUUAGAGAAAAGGGGGAAAAACCCAAAGGACAGAGAAAAGAAAAAUAAUACCUCAUAUGCAAUCUAAAAGGCUUGAUAGGGUUAUUGGUGAGAACCCCAAUUCGCCGAGGCUUAGGGCAAACAACGGGGCCGGCCCUAUGAUGCUCCGAUAUUGAAGAGAUAAACCCUCCCAUCUCCUCAUAAGCGGAAACGGCAAUGGGAUUCUGCUGAAGAUUGUAGUGAUUCAUCUUCCUCAAAAAUCUAACAUUCAAAUAAUUAAUUACAAAAAAGAAGUCAACAACCAGAUCUAAGAAAAAUGAUUCAAUUAAGACAUAGAAACAGACAAUUUAUAUUUUUUUCCCCCUUUAGUUUCCUUCAUUUUCACAGAAUCCCAAAAAAAAAAAAGGUCAAACCCAAAAAGGAAAACAUAAAUAGAAACACAGAUCUAGGCCCAGACCUUAAAAUCAGUGAUCACGGGUUGCUGUGGAGGUAAAACUGUAAUAAAUUUAGGAUUUAUAUGUCUGCGUAAAAAAUAUUAUAAUUUACAUUUAUAUAUAUCAGAUUCAGAGAGUUAAAAAGAAGAUCCGAAAUAUCAGGGAUUAAUUAAGACGUAACAAAUAAGAAUGAAAUACCCAGAAGGGAAAUUCAAGUGUUACAGCUAAAAACUCAUCAUAAAUAUUGAAUAGACACUUUGAAAUUUGACUUAAAAACAGAAUUGUUCUUUAACAGCAAAAAAAUAGGAAGAAAAAGAAAAAGAAAAAGAAACAGAUCUAAAAAUAUAUUUUACAAAAUAUAUACAGAGAAGUGAAAUCUUAUAUAUGAUUAAAUAAGUUUAAAAAAGGGAAACUUGAUUUUUGAGAUUUACCUGAAGGAAUCCCUUUGAAAGAAGAAAAAGCAGAAAAAUGGUGGAUGAGACGAGGAAGGAAAAGGUCUUAAUGGAGGCCAGGAGGGAAAUUAUAUACAAUGCCCAUUUUACCAUUGUAAAACAAUCUCCUCCACUUUUUUUUAAAUAUAAUUUCUUUUUGAAUCUUGGGAAAAUUAUUUUAACUUCGGUCAAUUAAAAUAUUAAUUAUCAAUAAAUGCCAAAAAAAAUUACGUGAAUAGAUCAAUUUUUUUAAAAAAAUUAUGGGAAUAAGCUAUUUUUUGGAAAUCACUUCCAAUUUGCAGGGAAACUUGGAAGCGUUUUCAGCAUGUUGCAUUGAAAACGCUUCCAGCUAGAAUCGCUUUCUACUAAGUCACUUGGAAGCAUUUUCAACAUAUUGCAUGGAAAACGCUUUCAGUUAGAAUCACUUUCUGCUAAGUCACUUGAAAAUGCUUCCAGUUGGAAGUGUUUUUCCCCCCAACAGUAAAAAAUAACAGUUAUUUAAUUAGUCGUUAGACACCCCCAAACAGUCAAAUUUUAUUUUCCUAUAACCCUCUCCCAUUUCAUUUUUUCCAAUUCAAUCUCAACUCUCUCUCACAUUCUCAAUACCCACUUAAAUUCACUAAUUUUUUUUGCUCUCUCAAUUUUAUUUUUUAUUUAAAUUAUCUUAACAUUUUCUUAAAUUAUUCUUCUAAUACAAAUUAUUCAGUUUUUUUCGAAAUUAUCAAUGGCAAAUUCUCUAAUUCGUCAUGAUAAGAACUAAACUUUCGUCAAUCAAUUGCAAAUGGUAAUAAUAUUUCUUAUUAUAUUUUAAUGUUGCAUAAUUUUUAUAUAUUUUUUUAUAUUUGAAUUUAUUAUUUUGUAUAUUUUUUCCUUAAAUAGGCAGAGAUUGAAUUUUGCAAGCCAACAUUCGUAAUCUACUCGCUCCUCCAUCACCCUUGAUCAAACCGUACUUGAGAGAAGUCGAUUUUUCGCACGUGGCCCUUAUAGGUAAGGGGUGUAAGUUGGACCCAACACUCGUAAGCGCGUUAAUGGAAAGGUGGAGAUCGAAGACGCACAUUUUCCAUCUUCCAUGUGGCGAGUGUACUAUCACUUUGGAAGAUAUGCAAUUACAACUUAGGUUACUAGUGGAUGGGUUUGCAGUGACUGGGACUGUUCACACAACCAAUUGGAAAAUGGUAUGCGAUGAACUUUUGGGGUUGGUUUCGGAGACAAUUUUUGGAGGUCGGAUAGAAAUGGCUUGGUUAAGAAGAAAUUUCAGUAAGCUUGAUGAGGAUUCAACUGAAGUCGAAAGAGAACAACACGUUCAGGAUUACAUCCUUAUGUUAAUAGAGGGUAUCAUAAUGCCGGAUAAGUCACGAAAUUUCGUCCAUUUAAGGUGGUUGUUGAAACUCGUCAAUAUUCGUAAUCUACUCGCUCCUCCAACUUAGUUGGGGGUCCACCGUGUUGGCGACCUUGUACCAAGAGAUGUGUCGAGCGACGCAACCACGAAAAAUUAAAAUUGGUGGUUGUAUGCUACUAUUGCAGUCAUUGGCGCGUUAUCAGCUGCCAUUUUUGUCCUGAAGCAAACUACCUUUACAAAUUCAUUACAUAAUUUAUUUAUUGCAAUAAAAUAAUCUAAUGUUUAAAUUAUUCUGUUAACAAAUUAUUUCAAUAGGUGGAAUAAUGGGUCAAGUUACGUGAGAAUAUCGAAAGAGCUAUGAUAUAUACGACUUCUGUUAGACCAACGAUCUGAAGCAAAGGUAAGUAUUUUUUUUAAAUUUGAAUUAUAUAAUAUUAAUGUAUUUGAUUUGAUAUUUAAUAGUAUAUAUAUAACUAAUUUUUUUUAUUAUUUUAAUAUAGUUUGAAUGGACACCAUACAAGGAUCUGACAAUUCGACAAUGCAUCCCAUCCGAAAUCCUGGUGAAUCCCAACAUUUGACAUGUAAAUGUGCCAUUGGUAGUGUACGCUAUUGUGUAUAUGCAUGAGUCGGAUAGGGUGUUGCAGCAAAUCGGGUUCAAACAAUCGAUUCUAGUGGUACCUUAGGACCUCGAUCAUCUGCAUCCUAUCAACUUGUGGGGGAGGUCGGAUGAGAAUUGAAUUAGAUUCCACAUUAAUAUAUAAACACAUGUGGAAUAAUCGGUAUGAGUUUCUACCUCAUCGCAAUGCUAUUAUCGCUCUAGAGUUAGCUUGCAGUUUGGAUUACAUGCCUUGAUUUAGGCUUUUUGGCAAGCCAUGCUUGUUGAGCGAAGAAUAUAGGAGUUGGCAAACGCAUACGAGGAGGCCACGACGACCGUCAACACAUCCAAGGUUUGGCGAGGCAGGUCCAUCGGUUGCACCUACUCAAGAGCCGACAUCGGUGCCCACACCACCCCUGAUCAGUAUGUGUAGUCCUAUUCUGAUUCGUAUGCGAACACCGUCAUUUUCACACAAGCACCAUAUAUUCAACCACAUUUUUCUGCUUUUACUUUGAUGUCAGGUUUUGUUUUCAAACCUUGGUCCCUAGUACAUUACACGUCGAUGCCAUCCAUAAUUCUGGCGACGAUGAUGCCGAUGACGACGUAUAGGCCAUCCAUGUUUCGACCACCGACCAAGAGUCCAAUUGUUAUGUCACCAAUGUACGAAACACAAUAUAGUUAUACCCCUACACUGAUGGUGAUGCAAACACCUCCAGGAUCAUUGUUCUAUCAAGGCGAAUCAUCUCCCCAACCACCUACUCCUAGAUCGGAGGAUGCACGAUGGCAACCAAGAAGCAACUAAUCGCAAUCAACUACGGAUGAAGGCGAAGAAGAGAAAAGGCCUAUACCACAACCUGUGUCAGAGGUUUAACCAGAGUUUGGAAAAUCGAUCGCAAUUGGGUUUGGAAAACGCAACGGAAAAUAAAUUUAGGAAAAAACCAGAGUUUUAAAAAAAAUCCAAAAUAAGAAUUUGGUUGUGAUAUCUAAAGUAAUAAACACUCAAUCAAAAUUGUACAAUUUUGAUUCGUCUAGGAUGAACGCUUCAACCUAGUAGUCUUCUCUAUUAUCCUUAAGCUCACGUCUGCCGAGUGUGGGCCCGCUUCGAAUAAAAAAAUUACAAAAAUUACUAGUGCAGUAAUUUCGUAAUUUCUCUAAACUUUUGGGCUAAGUUAUAAAUAAGAAAAAUACUCUAGAAAUUUUCUAAAAUAAUUUCUUUAGAGAAUUUUCUCUCUACAACUUUCUAUUGAAUUCAAGUGUGUGUAAAUAAUAACCCAAGACUAUCUUUAUAUAAGGAGGGUUUAGAGAGUUCAACUAUAAUUAAACUUAAUCACUUUAAUAUUAAUUUUAAUAUUAAAUUUUAAUUAAUAGAAUAUUUAUCUACAAGAUAAAUAUUAAAUUAAAUUUAAUAUUAAGAUAAUCACUUUGAUAUUAAAUUAAUAAAAUAUUAUUAAGAUAAGUAUCAAAUGAAAUUUAAUAUUAAAUCUAUUAAAAUAAUAUUAUUUUUUAAAUAGUUAAUCAAAAAUCAAAUUCUUUGGUAGAGUCUCAAUAGGAGUGUAAUUCUUCCAUUGCUUAACCACCGAAGAACCACUGCCGCUAACCAUUUUUUGGCCAUCGGAAUGCUGUCGUCGUAACCGUCGGCACCUGAGCUGGUUUGGUUUCUAUCGGUUCCGUACGGACCACUAACAGUCCGAUAGGUCCGAUCCAACCACCAGUUGGAUAUCAACUUAGUUUCACAUACCAGACCUGGUUCGACUAGUUUUUGGGUCUUAGUCUCGGUUUUGGGAUCCUAAGCCCAAUUUAUGAUCUCAGGUCUAAUAUUCAAGUUCAAUUACCCAUUGGGCCAAUUGUCUGACUUGAAAAAUUAAUUUUUCAAAAAUAUCAUAUUAAUUUUAAUUAAUUUGAUUGAUUUAAUUUUACUUGUUCAAAAUUAAUUUUCCCAAAAAUCACUUAGAUUUUCCAAAUUAAUUUUUCAAGAAAAUUCUUUAAUCAAAUUCUCUAGUUGAACAAUUCUUACGACCGUCCAACUUAAUUCCACAUCGAAUAAAUCGACUCAGUUAAAUUAUUUCCAAAGUCGUAGAAUUUACUUCUAAUUCAAAUGGAGUCCGAUUAAGCCUUUGUUGAGCUAGCGGAGGCACCAAUCGGACAUAUACAAUUAGGUUCUAGUAAUUGCAAUUAUGUCCAGAAGCAUCGUUCCUAUAAUUCACAAUUAUUUAAUAUGGAGUUAGGCCACAAAAAGUACCAUGAUUGAAAACUACUUAUUAUAUACUCUUUACGAAAGUAAUUCAUCCAACUACUUUGUCCAAUGACCUCGUCAUGUGUGUGUUACCCUCAUAUGAUAUCCUUGAUUCCUCUGAGUUAAAUUCAUUCACUCAAUACAAUCCUAUUUUAUCCCAUUGUUGCCAUCUGUCUUCUUAAUGAUUAACAUGAUCACUAUCAACAAAUGGAUGUGAUAAAUUGCUCAUUCAAGAACAAGCAACCCGUGGCCACAUUCCGUAUUUAUCAAUCCACACAAUGCUAAUGAGAGGAUAUCAUUAAUUCUUUAAUUGAGCUAUGAAUUUCACUGUUUCAAAAAGUAAAACCAUGCCAUACACAAGUCAUGUACCCAACAUAUCGGCUAUUGGUUCGAUCAUCUUUAGAGCAUAAGCCUCUACUUAUAUCAAAGCACAUGAGUUACAUAUGCAUGGUCAUUGACUAACUCAGGAUUUUGAUAAAUCAUAGCAUGAAUGUCACAAGUGAAUUAAUUCAAAAAUGAAUUCAGAAUUAAUUCAUCUUGGGUCUAGUUCAAUGUAUCAUUCUGCCAAUGAAUACAUUUAUGUCUCUACCCGUAGAGUCAACUACUCCGAUAGCCAAGACUAGUCAUCCCCUCAAUUGGAAUUAUAGACAACAUAAUAAUCAUUCUCAGUAUUUGAAUUAAAUAAUCACUUUGAUUCUUUUACGAAAUUACAAACUUGUUUAGAUUAUCUAGUGAAGUAAGUUGUCUUUCUCGUAAUGCAAAUGUUCUUACAAUGCCACUUAUCAUCAUUUUGAACUUAGACAAUCAAUGAGCUAAUUUUUGCUUGUUACAAAUUCGCUAUGCAUGCAAAAUAUGAAAGCCAGAAAUACAAAAUACAUAACAGUGAAAUGUGAAAUUUAUUUAUUCAAAUUCAUAGAAAAUAAUUACAUGUUUACUACAAUAUGUGCACAUUUCCCAACAAUUUCCCACUUGCUCUAGUGAAGUAAAUGUGUCAUAUUUCACAUUCCCAAAUCCUCAACGUGUUUGUUAAAACUCUUAGUUACAAGAGUCUUAGUAAAUAGAUCUAAAAGGUUAUCUUCAUAAGCUACUUUCACCACAUCUAUAAUUCCUUCGACUACUGCCUCUCAUAUCAAGUGAUACUUUUGAUAAAUGUGUUUAUUCCUCUUGUAACUUCUCAUUUCCUUAGUAUUAACUAUUGCAGCAUAGUUAUCACAAUACAGUGUUAUAACUUUUUCCAUACCAUGAAUAACUUCAAGAUCGGUUAAGAACUUUCAAAGCCAUAUUGCUUCUUUGUUGCUUCAGAAGUAGCCACAUACUCGGCCUCCAUAGUAGAGUCAGUAGCACAAGUUUGUAUUACACUUCUCCAUACUAUGGCUCUACGGCCUAAGAUGAAUAUAUUUUUUUAUGUUGAUUUCCUCGCAUCUUUAUAGGUUUGGAAGUCUAAGUUUGUGUAUCUGAUAGGAGUAAAGUUCUCCCUAGAAUAUAUAAACAUAUAGUCUUUGGUUCUUUUAAGAUACCUUAAUAUAUGCUUUCAGCUUGCCAAUGUUUGAAACCAGGAUUCGUCUGAUAUCGAGUAACCAUUCCCACUGCAAAACAAAUAUCUGGAUGUGUGGAAAGCAUCGCACACAUAAGGUUUCCAACUAUCGAAGCAUAUGGAACCCUACUCAUAUGGUCUCUUUCUUCUAUUACCUUAGGACAGUUAUCUAAAGAAAAAUGAAAACCUAAUGAGGUCGGCUGAGUGCCUAACUUCACAUCAAUCAUUGAAAAAUGUUUCAGUACCUUAUAGAUGUAUAAAGCUUGUGAUAGAGUUAUCGUUUUAUUCUUUCAAUCCCUAAGGAUUCGAAUUCGAAGAACAUAACUAGCUUCACCCAUGUCCUUUAUGUUAAUUGUUGAGCUAACCACAGUUUAACUGAUGACAAUUCUCUUACAUUAUUUCAUACAUUAAUAUAAACUUAACAAAAAUUAUUCAUUCACAUACACAUCAUCCCUAAAUUGAUCCUCUGAGGCCAUAAAAUACAUUAAAAAAAUUCGAGACUAAAUUGGAAACAUUUCAAAAGUUCAAGAAAAAGUUAGAAAAAUUUAACUGUAGGGGUUACAUGGCUGUGUGCCUUACACGACUGUGACACACGCCCGUGUCUCAGACCAUGUAAUAAUCAAAAUAGGGACACACUGCUGUGUCUCAGCCUUUGUCCUUACCCGUAUAACUCUCUAAGUAGGGUUACACGGCCAAAUCACACGACCAAAUCACAUGCCUGUGUGCUAUGUUGUGUAACUCUCGAAAUAGCCCCACAAGCCCGUGUGUCAAGCCGUGUGUUAGGCCGAGUAACUUUCUGACUUGAAUGCAAUUGAACCUAAAGGGGACACACAGCCAUGUCGCCAGGCCAUGUGUCAAACACGGUUGAGUCACACGCUCGUGUCUCAAGCCGUAUGGACAUGAAUUUGCCAAAAAAAGCCAUUUCCAUCACCAUAUCAAGCAUAUACCUAAAAACAUCUUGUGCACAUAAUCAAGACAUCAAAACCUUACCAAAACAUGCAUAUAGUAACCAAAAACUUAGUAGAGUCAAAAGGUAUUUUCUUAUCUGACACUAAAGUUGUGCAUAUAUAUGAGUGCAUUGACCCAGGGUCAAUCAAAGCAUCAACAUUAGUAUCAAAAAUAAAAAAUGUACCAGUGAUAACAACUGGCGCUGAAGCUUCCUCUCGAGCACAGAUCGCAUAAGCUUUAGUCGACACUGGUGCCUCAAAUCUCACAGUAGAGCCUUUCGUUCCACUACGACUAUUACCCCCUCUCGAGCACGGAUCGCAUGAGCUUUAGUCGACACUGGUGCCUCAGAUCUCACAGCAGAGUCUUUCGUUCCACUACGACUAUUACCCGCAUUACCAGUGUUUCGGGCUGGUCUCCUUCUCGAAGCUGUAUUACUCAGUCGAGUAGUCUGAGCCUUUUCUUUGUCGGACCUUUCAAGGUAAUCCUUGAGAUAUUUUUAUAUGAACCACAUUUAGAACAUUACUCGUCUUUCAAUCUGCAUUCACCAAAGUGUCGUUUAUUACAUUACUGAUAUUCGGGCUUGUUGUUUCUGAUAUUGCCCACACUUGUUGUAGACGUAGCCUGAGGUUUUGAGCUCGAAUGCUAAUUUCCUUAAUCUUUCUCAGAAUAAUCCACUGAAGCUGAUGAACGACCAUGAUAUUCUUUCAACUUCUUCGAUGGCGAUGGGUAUGACUUUUCCAUAGGGCUCUUUCCCGAGUUAUGAGCCUCCUCGACUUUUCUUUUCGCUUUGCUAAGUUCUUCAGCUUUAUGCACUUUGCCAACUAGAACUACAAAUUCUUUCAUCUCAAGGAUCCCGAAUAACACCUUAAUAUCUUUGUUUAACUUGUCUUCAAACCUUGUGCACAUAGCAAACUCUGUAGGUAUACAUUCUUUGGCAUACUUACUGAGUCGAACAAAUUCCCUCUCAUACUCUAAUACAGUCAUACGACCUUGUUUCAACUCAAGGAAUUCUUUACGUUUCUUGUCUAAAAAUAUCUCGCUCACAUAUUUCUUUCGAAAUUCAGUCUAAAAGAAUUCCCAGUUUACUUGAUCUCUCGGCACAACUGCAACUAAGGUGUUCCACCACUGAUAAGCCGAAUCUUUCAAUAAUGAAACAACACAUUUCAAGUAUUUCGUAGGAGUACAUGAUAAUUCAUCGAAAACUUUCACCGUGCUUUCUAACAAAAAUAGGCUCUCUUUGGAUCAUCUUCAGUUGUUCCUCGAAACUCUUAAGCCCUAUACUUACGAAUUUUAUCAACUAGAGGCUUGCUCACCCGAACUAGUUCCAAACCCUGAGGAACUACGAGGAUCGAUUGGGGUACAGGUGGGGGUGGAGGUCGUUAAGCCAUUGAUUUCAUUCGAAUAAACUCGAAGAAGCAUUCAGACAUCAUCUGGAGGAAAACUUCUUUAGCCUCUCCUCCCCAGCCCUCAGAUUUGAGCCUAUUACCACUAGACGCUGCUCCAUGAACGGAGGUUCGCGUGUUACUUUCUAUUUCAUUGGAAUCAGCUUGAUUGGAUGGCAUUUUAUCUAUAUGAAAACAUAGUUCAAAUAUAGUUAGGAGUUAUCACACUAUUACAGGUUAUAUAAAGGCAUGUAUUUCUAGACUCAUACACGCUACUUUAGUGCGAGAACCGACUAUGCUGUAGCUUUGAUACCAUUAAAUGUAACACCUCUAACCUGUAUCUAUUGCCAAAUUAGGGUUACAGAGCACUACUGUACAAAUGGAACAUUACAACAUACAUUUCAUAUAUUUAUAUAAACUUAACAAAAAUUAUUCAUUCAUUUACACAUCGUCCCUAAAUUGAGCCCUCGAGACCCUAAACAUACAUUAAAACUAAUUUGGGACUAAAUUGGAAGCAUUAGGAAAGUUCAAGAAAAAGUUAGAAAAAAUUGACUGCAGGGGUCACACGUCCAUGUACCUCACACGACUGAGACACACGCCCAUGUCUCAGGCCGUGUAACUCUCAAAAUAGCCCCAAAAACUUGUGCGCCAAGCCGUGUGCUAGGCUGUGUAACUGCCUGACUUGUUUGCAAUGGAACCUAAAUGGGAGACAUGGCCAUGUCGCCACACCACGUGUUACAUACGGUUGAGUCAAACGCCCGUGUCUCAGGCUGUGUGGACAUGAAUUUGCCCCAAAACAGGUAAUUUCCAUCACCAAAUCAAGCAUAUACCUAAAAACAUUUUGUGCACAUAAUCAAGACAUCAAAACCUUACCAAAACAUGCAUAUAGUGACCAUUUCAAUAGCCUUAAACCAAUCAACCAAUAUGCCAUUUCAAGGCACCUCACAAGCAAACACCAAAGCAUACCUAAGCAUUCACAUUUGGUCACAUUUCCACCAUCAAACAUAAUUCAUCUUCCAACAAAUUAUACCACAAUUAUGACCAUUAGCAUUUCAACAUAAACUUACCAUUUGAGGCAUACCAUUCAUGCAUCAUAAGUACCAAAAUGACACAAUCCAACCAACAUCAAAUUGUACCAACACUAUACAUGCCAAAAUAUCAACUAACAUUCAACUAGAUACCAAUACAAGUCCACCUAUACAUGCCAUUAUAGCCUUGGCCAAAACAUCAUAAAUUAUUGAUAUGUAUGCUGGAUAGUGUGAUAGAUCUCCGACGAGCUUCCAAACCGAUAUAGCUUCCGAUUAUCUAUAAAACAAGAGAAAAAAACUACGUAAGCAAAUAAUGCUUAGUAAGUUCGUAAAACAUGAAACAUAAUUUACCAUUUCCUUAUAUAACAUUAAGUACAAGCAUAAUGCAAUGCAACACAAGCUUGGCACAAGCCUAAGCACCAUCAUCAAUACACAAGUUAGUGUAUAUAUACAUAAUUCAAUUGAAUUUAACAUAUGGUAAUUCAUUUCCAUGGAAACAUACACCAUUUGAUUCAUUCUUCGUUUUCAUGAACAUAAGCAUACUUCCAUUUGGAACUUACCAUUUCAAUCCUUUUCAUAAAUACAUGAUAUAGUUCAUUUUGAACACUUAUCGUUCCUUUUCUUUCUAUGCCCGUUGAACCAUUUAGAAUAUCAUCGGAUACACAGGAAAACUCACAUGAAGUGUGCUUAAACAUAUAACCAUAAUCUUUCCUUUACAUUGUUGCUCACACGAGCUAUGAAAUAGGCCUACUCACACGAGCUAUGGGUCGAAAUGUAAGCUACACGAUGCUGCUCACACGAGAUUUGGAGUAUCUACAACAAAUGUAGGACCUCAACCAUCGGUAGGAUAUUCAAGACCAACACCCGAACAUGAGAACCCUAAUGACAUGUCAUUUGUAUCCUACGAAUUCCUAAGGUUCAACCAGGACUCGAUAACCGUCGUAGCAUGAUUUUGGAUAUACAUUGUUCAAUAGCAUUCUUAAUACAUAAUAACAUAUAAUUAAACAACAUGAACAUAACAAUCCGUACAUACGAACUUACCUCGACGACUAAGGCGUAAAAACGGGAUCGACUAAUCCGAGGCUUUAGCUUUUCCCCGAUCUAGAUCUGUUGUGGCCUAUCUUGAUCUAAAUAAAAAAUAUAAUUCAUUUAAUAUCCCUAGCAUUCAAUUUAGUCCAUAUUUCAUAUUUUUCCAAAAUUACUAUUUUACCCCUAAUAUUUUAACUUUUUACAAUUUAGUCCUUAAGCUCAUAAAUUAAAAUCUAAGCAUUUUCAUCCUUUUCUCAAGCUAGACAAUUUAUCCAGGGACCUAUAUCAACUCAUACAAACCAUUAUUUCAUAGAUUUAACUUGAAAUUUUAUCUUUUUUACAAAUAAGUCCCUAAAUAAAAUUUUCAUCAAAAAUCACUUUACAAAACUUGUUUAUUUAUGAACAAGGACUCAUAAUCUACCAUUAAACAUCAAGAAUCAUACAAGAAAAUUCAUGAAAAAACCCUAAAUCUUUAACAGUUUUGCAAAUUGAUCCUUGGGCUAGCUAAGUUAAGCUACAACGAUCCCAAAAACAUAAAAAUCAUUAAAAACAAGCUCAAAAAUCACUUACAUGCAAUAAUUGAACAUAGCCGAACCUUCAAGGUGAAAAAUAGAGGUUUUCCUUCUUUAAUUUCGGUGGAAACAUGAACUAAAGAAGAUGAUACUUUUAUUUUAUGUUAUUUUUCUUUACUUAAUUAUUAUAUUACCUUAAUAACCUUGUUAAUUAACUAAAUAAAACUCCUAAUUCAUGCCCAUCUUUGUCCACUAACAUUAUGAAUGAUCUAAUUACCAUCUAAGUCCACUCACAUUUAAAUUUCAUAGCCAUUUGACCCUUUUUACUAAUAGAACUCAAUUUUUGCACAUUUAUGAUUUAGUCAUUUUCACUUAAUUAAGCAUGCAAACAUCGAAAUUUCGUAACGAAAUUUUUAUAUUACCUUAUUAACAUUCUAUAUACAUUAAAAAUAAUAAUUUACUUGUCAGAUUUGUGGUCACUAAAUUACAAUUUCGAUUUCACUGAAAACAGGUUGUUACAACUCUCCCCCUAAAAGAAUUUUCGUCCCCGAAAAUCUUACCAGAAAAGAGGUUUGGGUAUUGCACUUUCAUAAUUUCUUCCAGUUCCCAGGUACCUUCCUCUAAACCUUGACAUUUCCAGAGAACUUUUACUAAAUCUAUUUAUUUCUCAGUUCUUUAACUUCCCAAGCUAAAAUUCUGAUCGGUUCUUCACUGUACGUCAUAUUUGGCUGUAUCUCAACAUCAACAGGUGAAAUCACGUGUGCAGAAUCUGAUUGAUACCAUCGUAACAUCGAAACAUGGAAUACAUUGUGAAUCUUUUCUAACUUUAACGGCAAAGAUAAUCUAUAAGCUAUUGGUCCAAUUUUUUCUAUGAUCCCAUACGGCCCAAUAAAUCGUGGACAAAGCUUUCCUUUUCGACUGAAUUGAAGAACUUUCUUCCAAGGCGAUACUUUUAGAAAUAAUCUGUCGCUUACUUGAAAUUCAAUGUCUUUUCUUUUCAAAUCUACGUAAGAUUUUUGUCGAUCCGAAAUUGUUUUCAGGCUAUCACAUAUCACUUUAACCUUUUCUUGAGUUUCUCAAAUUAAAUCAAUCUUGAAUAACUUUUUCUCACUCAGAUCAGUCCAGUAUAAAGGAGUUCGACACUUCCAACCAUACAAAGCUUCGUAUGGUGCCAUUUUAAUACUCACUUGAUAACUGUUAUUGUAUGCAAAUUCAACUAACGACAGAAAUCUCUCCCAGUUACCUUCGAACUAUAAAACACAACAUCGUAGCAUAUCUUUGAGUAUCUGAAUCACUCACUCAGAUUGACCAUUUGUUUAGGGAUGAAAUGUUGUAUAAAAUACAGUUAAGUACUAAGAGCUUCGUGUAACUUGCUCCAGAAUCGAGACGUAAACCGCAAAUCUCUUUCAGAAAUAAUAGAAUCUGGCACACCGUGCUAUCUAACAAUCUCAGUAACAUAUAACUUUGCCAAUCUCUCGAGUGAAAAAUCUAUACGCACCGGAAUGAAAUGCGUGGACUUCGUCAAACAAUCAAUAGUGACCCAUACAACAUAUUUCUUUCUCAGAGAUAGAGACAAACCCGAUACGAAAUCCAUCGUGACACAUUCCUAUUUCCACUUUGGAAUCAUCACAGGUUGUAACAAACUAGAAGGUACCUGAUGUUCAACUUUAACUUGCUAACAAACCAAACAUUUCGGUACGAACUCUAAAAUGUCUUGUUUCAUACCUGACCACCAAUAUAUGUGUUUCAAAUUGCCAUACAUUUUAUUGCUACCAAGAUGAAUAGACAAGCUAUUACUGUGAGCUUCCUGUAAAAUUUUCUGAAUAAGAUCAGAAUUUCUCGAAACACAAAUUCUGCCUUUGAAGUACAAAUUGUCAUCAGAACCAACAUGAAAAUUUGAUUCAGGUGUCAUCUCAAUCUAUUUCUAUUUAGUGAUCAAAACAUCGUCACAUUUCCGAGCUUCACAAAUCUGUUGCAGAAACAUCGGUCUAGCUUUUAAUUCUGCCAAAAUUGAUUCAUCAUCAAUCAACGUCAAUCGUGUGUUCAAUGCUCGUAAAGCAAACAUGGAUUUUCUACUCAAUGCAUCAGCAACAACAUUAGCCUUUCCCGGAUGAUAAUAAUGAUCAAGUCGUAAUCUUUCAAUAAAUCGAGCCAUCUGUGUUGUCUUAAAUUCAAAUCCUUUUGUGACAUCAAAUACUUUAGGCUUUUAUAGUCCGUGAAAAUAUGACAUUUUUCUUCGUACAAAUGGUGUUGCUAGAUCUUCAAAGCAAACAUAAUGGCUACAAGCUCUAAAUCAUGAGUCGAAUAAUUCUUUUCAUGCAGUUUCAACUGUCUAGAAGCAUACACUAUUACUUUGUCUUCUUGUAUCAAAACACAACUUAAACCAUUCAAUGAAGCAUCGCUAUAAAUCACAAAUUCUUUACCGAACUCUGGCUGAACCAACAUAGGUGCCUCGGUUAAUAAAGUUUUCAACUGAUUAAAACUGUGCUGACAUUUCUCAAACCAUUCGAAUUUAACAUCUUUUUACAACAAUCUCGUCAACGGCAUAGCAAUCAUCGAGAAUCUCUUGACGAACCUUCUAUAAUAUCUGGCUAAACCCAGAAAACUUCUGACUUCAGAUACAUUUCUCAGAGGUUUCCAGUCUACCACAGCUGAAAUUUUACUUGGAUCAACUCUAAUACCAUCUGCUGAUACCACAAGUCCCAAAAAUCCUACUUCUCGGAGCCCGAACUCGCAUUUGUUGAACUUAGCGAGUAGUUGUUUUUCGCGUAAGGUUUGUAAAACAGUUCUCAAAUGUUGGGCAUGUUCUAUCUCAUCUCGUGAAUAGAUCAGGAUGUCAUCAAUAAACACAACAAAAAAUCUAUCUAAAUAUGGUCUGAAUAUUCUAUUCACCAAGUCCAUAAACACGGUAGGUACAUUAAUCAAACCAAAUGGCAUCAUAAGAAACUCAUAAUGUCCGUACUUAGUUCUAAAUAUUGUUGUCGACAUAUCAGACUCUUUAACCCGUAACUGAUAAUAACCAGGAUGAAGAUCGAUCUUUGUUAAUACCGUCGCACCUUUCAAUUGAUCAAACAAAUCAUAAAUAUGUGGUAAUGGAUACUUGUUCUUGAUCAUGACUUUGUUGAGCUGUUGAUGAUCAAUACAUAGUUGCAUGGAUCUGUCCUUUUUCUUGACAAAUAACACAGGACGUCCCCAAGGAGAAAAACUGGGCUGAGCAAAGCCCCUAUCUGAUAACUCUUGCAACUGAGCUUUCAAAUCUUUUAAUUUUAUAGGUGUCAUUCUAUAUGGAGCUAUCGAGAUCUGAGAUAUUCCAGACAUUAAUUCAAUAGCAAACUCAACUUUUUUGGUCGGUGGUAACCCUGGUAAUUCUUUUGGAAACACGUCUACAUACUGACAUACAAUUGGAACUGAUUCUAACUUAAAUUCUGAAACUCCAGAAUCAAAUAUAUAAGCGAGAUACGUUUCAAAGCCUUUUCUAACAUGUUUUUGUGCCGACAUAACCAAAAUAACAUCAAAUGCACUAUAUAAUAUGUCUGAUUCAAUUCGAAGCUUUUCAUCAUUCUGACAUUUUAACACAAUAUACUUUCGUCUAUAGUUCAAAACAACAUCAAGCAGAGUUAACUAGUCCAUACCCAGAAUCACAUCAAACUCAUCAAAGCGUAGUAACAUCAAAUUAGCCGGAAAGUUGCAACCCCGAAUAAUCAAAUGGCAGUUUUUAAAGACUUUAUCAGCUAACACAAACUGACCUAAAGGGUUCAUUACUUUAACCAAAAACUCAGUAGAAGGUAUUUUAUUAUUUGAAACUAAGGUUGUGCAUACAUAUUAGUGCGUUGACCCAGGUUCAAUCAAAGCAUUAACAAUAGUAUCAAAGAUAGAAAAUGUACUAGCGAUAACAUCUGGUGCUGAAGCUUCCUGUCGAGCAUGGAUUGCAUAAGCUCUAGUCAGCGUUGGUGCCUCAAAUCUCAUAGUAGAAUAUUUCGUCCCACUACGACUAUUACCCGUAUUACCAGUGUUCCAGGGUGGUGGUCGUCCUCUCGCAGUUGUAUUACUCGGUUGAGUAGUCUUAGCCUUUUUUUUGUCGAAAUUUUCAAGCCAAUCUCUAAGAUAAUUUUCAUACGAACCACAUUUAAAACAUGAAUCAUCUUUCAAUCUACAUUCAUCAAAGUUUUGUCUAUUACAUUGCUGAUAUUUGGGCUUGUUAUUUCUGACACUGCCUACACUUGCUGCAAACGUAGCCUAAGGUUUCGAGCUCGAAUGCUAAUUUCCUCAAUCUUUCCCAGAAUUAACCUCUAAAGCUAACGAACGACCAUGAUAUUCUUUCGACUUCUUUGAUGGUGAUGAGUAUGACUUUUCUAUAGGCUUCUUUCCAGAGUCAUGAGCCUCAUUGACUUUUCUUUUCACUUUGCUAAGUUCUUCAGCUUUCUGCGCUUUUUCAACCAGAACUACAAAUUCUUUCAACUCAAGGAUCCCUAUUAAUAGCUUGAUAUCUUCGUUUAACUAGUCUUCAAACCUUGUGCACAUAGCAACCUCUAUAAGUAUAUAUUCUCGGGCAUACUUACUGAGUCGAACAAAUUCCCUCUCAUACUCUACUACAGAUAUACAACCUUGUUUCAACUCAAGGAAUUCUUUACGUUUCUUGUCUAAAAACAUCUCGCUCACAUAUUUCUUUCAGAAUUUAGUCUAAAAGAAUUAUCAGUUUACUUGAUCUCUCGGCACAAAUACAACUAAGCUUUUCCACCACUAAUAAGCUGAGUCUUUUAAUAAUGAAACAACACAUUUCAAGUAUUUCGUAGGAGUACAUGAUAAUUCAUUGAAAACGUUCACCGUGUUUUCUAACAAAACUCGGCUCUCUUUGGAUCAUCUUCAACUAUUUUUCGGAACUCUUAAGUCCCAUACUUAUGAAUUUUAUCAACUGGAGGCUUGCUCGCCCGAACUAGUUCCAACCCUGAGGAACUAACGGGAUCAGUUGGGGUACAGGUGGGGGUGGAGGUCAUUGAGGCAUUGGGUUUGGUCGCACAAUCUUGGAGAACCAUUCAGACAUAAUCUGGGGGAAGGCUUCCUUAGCCUUUCCUCCCCAACCCUCAGAUACAGGCCUAUUACCACUAGACGCUGCUCCGUGAACGGAGGCUUGCGCGUUACUUUCUACUUCAUCGGAAUCAGUUUAAUUUGAUGACAUUUUAUCUAUUUGAAAACAUAGUCUGAGAACCGACUAAACUGUAGCUCUAAUAAUACUAAAUGUAACACCCCAAACCCGUAUCCAUCGUCGGAUUAGGGCUACGAAGCAUUACUAUACAAAUAAAACAUUAUAACAUACAUUUCAUACAUUAAUAUAAAUUUAACAAAAAAUAUUCAUUCACAUACACAUCAUCUCUAAAUCGUGCUGCCAAGGCCCUAAAAAUACAUUAAAAAAUUUGGGACUAAAUUUGAAGCAUUUGGAAAGUUCAAGAAAAAGUUAGAAAAAUUUGACUGUAGGGGUCACACGACCAUGUGCCUCACACGACUGAGACAUACGCCUGUGUCUCAAGCUGUGUAACAAUUGAAAUAAGGACACACAGCCGUGUCCUUACCCAUGUAACUUUCUGAGUAGGGUCACACGGCUGAGACACACACCUGUGUGCCAGGCCAUGUGCUAGGCCGUCUAACUCCCUGACUUGUAUGCAAUAGAACCUAAAGGGGACACACGGCCAUGUUGCCAGGCCGUGUGUCACACAUGGCUAAGUCACAUGUCUGUGUCUCAGGCCGUAUAGACAUGAAUUUUCCCACAAACAAGCCAUUUCCAUCACCAAAUCAAGGAAACACAUAAUCAAGACAUCAAAACCUUACCAAAACAUGUAUAUUCAAUAGCUUUAAACCAUUAAACCAAUAUGCCAUUUCAAGGCACCUCACAAGCAAACACUAAACUUACACAUUUGAUCACAUUUCCACAAUCAAACAUAGUUCAUCUUCCUACAAAUCAUACCAUAAUUAUGACCAUUAGCAUUUCAACAUAAACUUACCGUUUGAGUCAUACCCUUGAUGCAUCAUAAGUACCAAAGUGACACAAUCCAACCAACAUCAAAUGGUACCAACACAACUUAUACAUGCCAAAAUCAUCAACUAACAUUCAACUAGAUACCAAUACAAGUCCACAUAUACAUGCGAUUAUAACCUUGGCCAAAAUAUAAAAAACUACCGAUAUUUAUGCUUAGUAUGAUUGAUCUCCGACAAGCUUCUAAACCGAUCGAGCUUCCGAUUAUUUAUAAAACAUGGGAAAGAAAACUAUAUAAGCACAUAAUGCUUAGUAAGUUCGUAAAACAUGGAACAUAACUUACCAUUUCCUUAUAUAACAUUAAGUACAAGUAUAAUGCAAUGCAACACAAGCUUGGCACAAGCCUAAUCACCAUCAUCAAUACACAAGUUAGUGCAUAUAUACAUAAUUCAAUUGAAUUUAACAUAUGGUAAUCCAUUUCCAUAGAAAUAUACAUCAUUUGAUUCAUUCUUCAUUUUCAUGAACAUAAGCACACUUCUAUUUGGAAACUUACCAUUUCAAUCCUUUUCUUAAAUACAUGAUAUAGUUCAUUUUGAACACUUACCGUUCCUUUCCUUUUCAUGCCCGUUGAACCAUUUAGAAUAUCUUCAGAUACACGGGAAAGCUCACACGAAUUGUGCUUAAACAUAUAAUCAUAACCUUUCCUUUACAUUGUUACUCACACGAGCUGUGAAAUAGGCCUGCUUGUACGAAUUGUGAAAUGAGAUUGCUCACACGAGUUGUGGGUCGAAAUGUAUGCUAGACGAUGUUGCUUACACAAGCUGUGGAGUAUCUAAAACAAAUGCAGGACCUCUGUUUUGGUAUGACAUUCAAGACUAGCACCUAAACAUGAAAAUCCUAAUGUCAUGUCAUUUGUAUCCUUUGAAUUCUUAAAGUUCAACUGGGACUCGAUAACCGUCGUAGCAUGAUUUUGGAUAUACAUUGUUCAAUAGCAUUUUUAAUACAUAAUAACAUAUAAUUAGACAUCAUGAACAUAAUAAUCCGUACAUACAAAACCUCGACGAGUAGGGCGUAAAAACGGGAUCUACUAAUCUGAGGCUUUAGCUUUUCCCCGAUCUCGAUCCGUUCGUGGCCUAUCUUGAUCUAAAUAGAAAAUAUAAUUCAUUAAAUUUCCCUAGCAUACAAUUUAGUCCAUAUUUCAUAUUUAUACAAAAUUACUAUUUUUCCCUUAACAUUUUAACUUUUUACAAUUUAGUCCUUAAGCUGAUAAAUUAAAAUCUAAGCUUUUUCAUCAUUUUCUCAAGUUAGCCGAUUUCUUUAGGGACCUAUAUCAACUCAUACAAACCAUCAUUUCAUAGAUUUAACUUGAAAUUUUAUCUUUUUUUACAAAUAAGUCCCUAAUUACAAUUUUCAUAAAAAAAUCACCUUAUAAAACUUGUUUAUUUAUGAACAAGAACUCAUAAUCUACCAUUAAACAUAAAGAAUAAUGCACGAACAUUCAUGGAAAAACCCUAAAUCUUUAACAAUUUUACAAAUUGAUCCUCGAGAUAGCUAAGUUAAGCUACAAAGAUCUCAAAAACAUAAAAAUCAUUAAAAACGAGGUAAAAAUCACUUAAAUGCAGUACUUGAACAUAGCCAAACCUUCAAGAUGAAAAAUGGAUGUUUUCCUUCUUUAAUUUCGAUGGAAACAUGAACUAAAGAAGAUGAUACUUUUAUUUUAUGUUAUUUUUCUUUACUUAAUUAUUAAAUUACCUUAAUAACCUUGUUAAUUAACUAAAUAAAACACCUAAUUCAUGCCCAUCCUUUUUCACUAACAUUAUGAAUGGUCUAAUUACCAUUUAAGUCCAGUCACAUUUAAUUUUUGUAGCCAUUUGACCCUUUUUACUAAUAGAACUCCAUUUUUUCACCUUUUAUGAUUUAGUCCUUUUCACUUAAUUAAGCAUGCAAACAUUGAAAUUUAUUGACAAAAAUUUUAUACAACCUUACUAACAUUCCAUAAACAUUAAAAAUAAUUAUAAAAUAAUAAUUUACUUGUCGAAUUUGUGGUCUCAAAACCACUGUUCUGAUUUCACUAGGAACGGGCUGUUACAAAGAUAGUCAUUAAUAAAUGUUGUCUUGAUAUCCAUUUGCUAGAUCUCGUAAUCAAGAGCAGCGGCAAUGGAUAAGAGUAUGUGAAUAGAAUUGAAAAUGGCUACCAGAGAGAAUGUCUCAUCGUAAUCGAUGCCUUCUUGCUAUGUGUAGUAUUUCCCUACAAGUCUAGCUUUAUGUGUUUCCACUUCCCCUUCCGCAUUUCUCUUCUUCUUGUAGAUUUGCUUACACCCUAGAAGUUUUAAUCCCAACCAGUAAGUCUACAAGUUCCCACACCAUAUUGGAUUUCAUAGAAUCCAUCUCGACAUCCAUGGUUGUUUUUAGAUAUUGAAAUCAAUGUUCUGCAUAGCCUCAUCGUAAGUGAGUAGAUCAUUAUCCUCAUGAUUGACUUCUAUAUUAUAAAUACUACCAUCAUAGGUGAAGAAGUCUAAUUUCUUAAAAGUUCUCCAACUACGACGGAUUCCCCUAUGUUGUUGAUUGUUUGCAGGUCGUUCUACAACUAUCUCGAGAAUUAAACUUUGUUAUUGUUCUACAACUCCUCGAGUACCACUUUACUUCGAGCCUUAAAGUUAUCCAUGUAGCUUUCUUCGAGGAAAAUAGCAUGAGUAGAAACUUUGAUCGUAUUAUCAUUUAGAUUGUAUAAUAAUUCACCCUUUGCUCAUUCUGGAUAUCUUAUAAACAUGCACAAUUCUUUCCGUGCAUCCAACUUCUCUGCAUCCUUAUCCAAAACGUGUGCUGGACAACCCUAUAUUCUAAAGUGAUUUAGAACUGAUUUCUUUUCAUGCCACAGUUUAUAAGGUGUCUUACAAGCAGACUUGGUUGGCACAUCAUUCAGACUAUAGCAAAUUAUUUAUAUCGCAUAUCCUUAGAAGGGAGUAAGGAGUUUUGAAUAGCUUAACAUUGAACGAACCAUGUUAAGCAAUGUUCUAUUCCUUCUCUCAGCUACACCAUUAUCCUGUGGAGUGCUUGACGUAGUCAACUGGGAUAAAAUCUCAUUCUCUAUGAGGUAUUCUAAGAACUCGUCAGACAAGUAUUCCCCACCUCGGUCAGAUUUAAGAUUCUUUAUGGAUAAACCUAAUUGCUUUUCCACUUUUGCACGAAACUCUCGAAAUUUAUCAAAUGCUUCACUUUUGUGGUUCAUUAGAUACACAUAUCCAUAUUGAGAAUAGUCUUAAAUGAAAGUCAAGUAAUAAUCAUAACUUCCUCAGGCACUGAUGCUCAUGGGACCACAUACAUUAGUGUGCACAAGUUCUAAAGGUUGGUUGGCCCUUGUACCUUUCGCAUUAGAAAACUACUUAGUCAUUUUUACCUUCCAAUCAAGAUUCACAUUGUGGAAGACUAACUUCCUUAAGCAUACUUAAGGGACCAUCUUUCAUGAUUCUAGUGAUUCUUUCUUGGUUAAUAUGACCAAAUCUUAAGUGGCAUAGGUAUCCCUCAUUAGAGUAAGACGUUUUAAGAUUUUAUUUUCCAUCCAUCCAUUACAAAUUAAAGAACAAUUUUUGUGAAUAAUAAUCCCUUUAUUAAAUGUCACUGUAUAACUUUCGUAAAAUAAACAUGCUACAAAUAAUAAAUUCCUCUUAAAAUAAGAUACAUAAAAUAUGUUUUUUAAAAUAAUCUUCCUAAAAUUAUCAAAAUGUAAAAUAACUUCUCUCACUACUUCAACUGAAACAUAGCUCCCAUCUCCAAUCUGCAAUGAGAGGCUCUUGUCACGUAAACAUCUCAUUUCACUGAACUCCCGUAAAGAAGCACAUACAUGGUUAAUGGCUCUAAAAUCAAUAAAUCAGUUGUCUAUUGAUUCUUCCCUUAAGCAAGUUUCAACCACAAAGAGUUCCAUACAUUUGCCAUUUUCGGCUAGGUAAAUCAAAUACUCUUUACAGUUUGCUUUGAAAUGCCCCGUAACACCCAUAUCCCGUCUCUGUUGCCGGAUUAUGGAUUGGAGUGUUAUAGAACCAAACCAAAACAAUUUAUCUUAAUUCCAUAACAAGUAUUCAAUGAAUUUAAAAACACAUAUCAUAUUAUAUCAUAUCAAUACAGAUCAUAUCAUAUAAUAAAUAUGCACAUGGGCCUUUUUUCGGGUUUACAAGGCCUUAAAAUUAGAUUAAAAAUAAUCAUAGAUCAAAUUGAGACAAAUUAUAAAUUUUUGAGAUAAACAUGAAAAUUUGAUAUGCAGGGGUCACAUGGCCAUGUGUCCAGACUGUGUGACAUAGCCCAAACUGUGUGGGAAUUCGAGGUUGGGACACACGGCCGUGUCCCAGCCUGUGUCUCUAUCUGUGUAACUCACUGACUUUGAUCACACGGUCAUGUCAUAGACCGUGUGUCAGGCCAUGUAACUCUCUAACUAAAUACACACGACCGUGUGCCAGAUCGUGUAUGGCACAUGGCCGUGUGGCAGCUCGUGUGCACCAAAAUGAACAUUAAACAUCAAGUUUACCAAAUCAUGCUUACUUGAACACUAAACAAUCCAAUUACUAGCCAUAACCUAUUCAAAACACAAUUAAACAUGCUCAAAACAUGCCAAAACAAUCAUCUUAAGUGCCUAACCAAUGUACCCUCUUUAGUACCACAUUUUAUAUUUUCUAAUAUAUUAAUAAAACAUUAAACUAAAAUAUAUACCAAAACAUUUAGAUAGGCUAACCUACCAAAACAUAGUCUCAAAAAUAAUGAAAAGACCUCCCUAUAUAUGUCAUUACAAAAUAAAGCAUCACACCAGAACUCUAAACCACAUCAUUCAACAAUUACAGAUCAAUGUAUUCAUCUAUGCAUUACAUAUAUAUACACCUGUUCCAUCAUUACAAAAUGUACUCUAGUAAAACACAGAUCUCACUCAUUAACUAAAUCUAUCAACAUUCUCAAAACUCAUAUAUUCAUCAAUAUAUACAUGCCACUACCCAAUUAAGAUGCAAAAGUACCGACUUAGAUGUGAGCUAGUUGAUUGAUCAUUCCAAAAAGUCAGCAACGAUUAUCUACAACACUUUCGAUUUAAUCACAGGGAUCUAUUCUAUAAUUUUCCUUUUUCCUCGAUUUAAGUCUUUCUGUCCCGGUUCUUGAUAUGCAAGCAAUGGAAAUGGCCAAACCUAACUUUAAAAGAAAUGGCUUUCUUCUCUUCUCAAAUUCAGCUAAGGAUGGUGGAAGAUGACAAUGUUUCUUUUCUUAUUAUUUUACUUUAGUUUUGUUUUAUUAUAUUACCAUUUUACCCUUAGAAUUAAGCUUAUAAUUUAACAACUAAAAAGGCCCUUAACUGUCUAUCCAAAAUCACAUGGACUAAUUACUUUAUAAGUCCUCUUUUAUUUGAUAGUUAAGCUAUCAAAUCAUUAUAAUUCAAUUAUGUCUAGAUUUUGAACAUUUUACAACUUAAUCAUUUUUCUUAAUUUAACUAAGUAAACAUUAAAAUUCUUUCACUGAAACUUAAUACGACCCUAAUGUAACUCCACAACAUUGAAUAAACCAUAAAACACAACUUCAUAUAUCGAUAUUUGUGGUCCCGAAACCACUAUUCCAUUACCACUAAACAACGGGAUAUUACAUGCCCUUUUCUAUUGCAGAAGAAACAUUAGAUCUUUUUAGGAUAUUUUGACUUCUUAGCCUUCUUCCUAUCCAUACGAGGUGGAAUCGAAGACUUAGUAGGUUUAUUCUUUCUUUUAGCUUUUUGCUUUCAUUUAGAGGAUGAAAGACCCACUGCUAAGUUUGCCUCAGGUUUCUCCUGAACUGACUUUCCACCAUUCAACAUCAACUAAUAGGAUGGUAAUUCCUUCAUGAGCUGAGUCAAGGUAAGCGCCUUGUUCCUUAAGUUAUAAGCAACCCUAAAACCAGCAAACUCCUUAGUUAAGGAUUUGAACACUAUUUCAAUCUGAGUGUUCACGUCUAGUUCAACCCCAUUGUCUUCCGCUUCCGCAAAGAUUCCCAUAAGCUUAAGCAUAUGUUUUUUGACUAGAGUGCUGGAUUUUUGUUGAGAGUUCAUCAUAUUUGUAAUAGCGGAUUCUCGAGCUAAUGCGACUUUGCCUCGGAGCAAAUCCUCCAAUUUUUUCAUAAUCUUUUUAGUAGUACGAAAAUUCUCAUGUUACUUUUGUAACACAUUACUCAUGCUUGUUAACACAUAACAUCGAGCAAACGAGUCAGAAUCUCUCCAACGAUUUCUCGCUUUGGGCUAAGCUUUAAAAGGGUACAUUUCGUCAAGAACGAAUUUGUGUUUCUCACAGCUAAGAACUAUUAGCAAGUUUCGUUUCUAUUCUCGAAAGUUAUCCCUAUCCAAUUUAUUUUUAGUAAGAAUGCUAAUAAGAGGAGUAAGAGACAUAUUUGAACUGAAAAAUAAAGAUUCACUAAUUACUAUCUUUGUAUUAAGCAAAUAUUUUCAUUUCAGAAACAUAUCAAGAAUGCAAUAUGAUGCAUGCGUCUUGUAUUAAAACCUUGAAAAACCAUUUUUCUGUUGCUACGAUCAUUCUCAUACCCAUCAACCAUGUCAUCUUGGGGUCCCAUGAUUAACUAGAAAGAAUACGAAUUACAUCCAUUUAGUUCGUGAAUCUUAAUUCUCAAGACUCCACACGAACCAAUGACCAUUUUUUUGGAUCGCCGGCACCCCUACGGUGCAGCACCCUAACCAUGGAUCCAUGUGUGAAGAACAAAUCGGGGUGAAAAGAUUACGAAAUUACCUAAUAUUUCGAUUGAGAAGACAGUAACUUCUCAACAAUGUGUAGUCUGAUCUACAGUCAAACCAAGUCACAAUCUAUUGAGACUCUGACCUCUACGUAAUCCACCCAGUUGACUACGAACGGAAGAAAAUUCCCAAAACAGUUUUGAGAGUUGUAUUUCUUUGACGGCUGCUAGACCUUAAAAAUAAUGAAAAACGGGAUUCUAAUAUAUCCCUUUUAUUUUUAGGGUUUUUUAGGAAUUAAAUAAAUAAAAUAAUAUUUUAAACCGAAAAUUAUAAUUACAUUAAUUAUAAUAUAAUUUCGGUAAACCAUAUAUUUAUUUAAAUUCAUAUGCUAAUCAAAUUCAUGUCCUCAUUAUGCGUACAACAACCUUGUACAUAAUGUGUUGGAGAUUUGAUUACUGAAUUAAAUUAAUUCUAUAAUUAAUUUAAUUCAAGUGACACCCAAAAAUAAAACCAACUAUGGUUUAUUCCGUUCAUUUCAACUAUAGGGUGUGACCCUGUAGGUUCCUGUAACGUUAGCAGUAAUACUAGAACGAUUCCAAUGUUACAAACAAUGAGUGGCAUCUAGCAAUGCAUCAUUGCUACCUAAGUCACAAGAGAUCAUGAUUCGACAUAACCUUUUAUGAUUAACCUUUUAUGCAAUAACCCUUAAGUCCUUUAUCUCUGGAUUGGACACAAGUCAUGGAAUAGUCACACUUGUAUAGUCCAUUCCAUGUUCCUUGAUAUCUUAAGCAGACUACGAUAUACAAAUAAGUAUGACAUCUCAUAUCAACUUAUUUGAGCAUGGCCAUGCAUUUCUAGUUUCACUUAAUCAAGUGGCCUAAGAUAUUACUCCCAUUAUGUAGGAGGGACUUAUUCUAUAUUGACCAACCAUAUCCCUCUACAUCGAUUGUGAUAUAUCCAACAUCAGCCUUUAUAGAACAACUAGUUACGGUGUACGUUUAACUGUAUCAAAAUAUACUACUCACGAUGUUGGGAUUAUGAUGAUCUCAAGUCUGAGGAUCAUAUACAUAUUAAUCACUAUGAGUAAUGUCGUGACAAUUACAUAAUAAUCCAAGAGACAUACUCAUAAUGGGUCAGUCCAAUAUGUUGUUCUCUAACACACAUAUUCAUGCAUCGAUUCUGACAUUCCAUAUCAAUGACAACUCUUUAUCAUCAAUCAACUACAUGUUAGUCUUAAUGCAUUAUCAUUGUCCUAUCCAACAAUAAUACUUGACUAAGGAUCUUUUAAGAAUAAUCAUAUUAUUCUUAGGACAUUAUUAUAAAACAGCUUAUUUAUACACACAGAAAAGAAACUUAAAUAAUAAUGGUAACGCCUUAUAUUAAUAAACAUGAUAAAUCAAGUAUGUUAUUACAACCAUCUCAUGAUUGGUCUUUGGGCAUACUCUAACACAUUUAACGUUUGGUCAUCAUCUCUAGCUUAAAUAUAAUUUUUGGGGAAACUAUUUAAUAAGAGAAUAUCUUGAGUGUGUAACCAUUGUCUCAACAUCCAUCAUGAACACACUUUCAUUUGUGAGUCAUCUUGGGACAAUCUCAUAGAGAGUCAUGCAUGACUAGUUUUCCUGAAAAGGAAAUCUCAUCCAGUGAAUUCACAUGAUAAAAUUUACAUUGGGGUGCGGCCAAGGUAGGAACCAACUCAAAAUUUUAUCAUGCUAUCACUUAGGGACCAUUAAUGGAGGUCAUAGGUCUUGUUCAAGAACUUUCUCCCACUCAAUAUUUUAAAAUAGCAUGCAAGGUUUUUUAUCCCAUAUGUCAAGAAUGAUCAUGCAAUAGUCCUAGUGGCAUUUUUACCUAAUCUAUAUGUCAUGCUUCCAAUAUAUGCAUGGUAUGCUAUAAAAAUUUUAUAAUAUUUACAUUCUUUUAUCACAAGAAUCAAUUAACCAAAAAACAAACAAUUUUGAUUCUCCACAGUUUUUGUUUUGAGGGAACAACAGGAGAAGUGAAUGUAAACCAUGCACUAGGUAGGGUCCUAGGAAAAAGAGGCGAGUCAAAUUUGACCGCUUAAAAACCAAGUAUUUCUUAGCUAGAAUCAUUCCUAGACAUGCACGUUCUCAUUACCACACUGCUCACAGUAAUCGAAUAACCUAAAGAAGUGACUAGAACAAUACAACACAAGUAUUUUCUCAUUAUCACACUUCUUAUUUUGUAUUCGAUCAACUACAGAUCAUCUCAUAUAUAUAUCACAAUUAUAACAUUACAUAAUAUAAAUAUUAGAAACAAUUAUAAAACAGUGUCCAUUAAUGUUUCUAUGGUUCUAUUUCCAGAAUAAAUGAAAAAAAAUAAAAUUACAUAAUUUUUCACCACAAGGCAUUCCUUGGGCCUUCAACUGGCAUCGCUCCAUCUUCUCCUCAUUAUGGACUUCUUUUGAAAAAAUUACAUUUAAGUCCUAUAUCUGUUUUCGGCUCACAAGAAUUCUAUGAACUAAAGAAAAAUUCUUAUGUGGAGAUGAUAGUCAACAGUCUAUUUCCUAAGAACCACAACCUUGGAAAACAAAAUUAUAUAACAAAUAUAUAAUAUUGCAUCCAUUCCCAUAUACAACUCAAAACAUGCAUAAGAUCUAAAGAAUAUCACUUUAUAUGUAAUCAAAUCAUUCAAGAAGAAGAGAAAUUUAUAUUGAUUAUCUGCUUAUACUUACAGAUAAAACACAACCUGACUCUAAUACCAAUUGUUGGAAAAUCGAGUUUAGAAAAUGCAAUGGAAAAUAAAUUUAGGGAAAAAUUAGUUUUAAAAAAAAACUCCAAAAAAGAACUUGGUUGUGAUAUCUACAGUAAUAAACACUUAAUCAAAAUUGUAUCUUUUCGAUUCGUCUAGGAUGAACGCUUCGACAUAGUAGUCUUCUCUGUUAUCCUCAAGCUCACGUUUUCCGAGUGUGGUCUUGCUUCGAAUCAAAAAUUUUUUCACAAAAGUACCAGUAGGAUAAUUUUUCAAUUUCUCUAAACUUUUGGGAUAAGUUGUAAAUAAAAAAUAUGUUUAGAAAUUUUCUUAAAUAAUUUCUUUAUAGAAUUUUCUCUCUACAACUUUCUCUUGAAUUCAAGUGUGUGAAAAUAAUGACCCAAGACUCUCUUUAUAUAAGGAGAGUUUAGAGAGUUCAACUAUGAUUAAACUUAAUCACUUUAAUAUUAAAUUUAACCUAAUAUUUAAUCAAGAUAAAUAUUAGUCUAAAUUUAAUAUUAAAUCUUAUUAAAUUAAUAGAAUAUUUAUCUACAAUAUAAACAUUAAAUUAAAUUUAAUAUUAAGAUAAUAACUUUAAUAUUAAAUUAAUAAAAUACUAUUAAUAAGUAUUACAUUAAAUUUAAUAUUAAAUAUAUUAAAAUAAUAUUAUUUCUGGAAUAGUUAAUCUGAAAUCAAAUUCUCUAGUAGAAUCCCAAUAGGAGUAUAAUUCUUCCACUACUCAACCACCGAAGAGAACCACCGUCGUUGACCAUAUUCCUACCACUGGAAUGUUGUCGUCAUAGCUGUCGAUGCCUCGAGUUGGUUCGAUUUCUAGCGGUUCGGUCCGAGCCAAUGAUAGCCAGAUCGGUCCGGUCCAAGCAGUUUUCACAUCCAAGCCCGGUUCGACUAGUUUUUGGGUCUUGGUCUUGAUUUUGGUCUCCCGAGCCCAAUUUACGAUAUCAGGUCCAAUUUUCAAGUUCAAUUACCCAUUGGUCCAACUGUUUGAGUUGAAAAUUAAUUUCUAAAAAUAUCAUAUUAAUUUUAUUAAUUUAAUUUUACUUGAUCAAAAUAAAUUUUUCCAAAAAUGAUUUAGAUUUUCCAAAUUAAUUUUGCAAGAAAAUUCUUUAAUCAAAUUCUUUAGUUGAACAAUUCUUACAACCGCCCAAUUUAUUUCAACAUCGAAUAAAUUGACUCAAUUAAAUUAUUUAUAAAGUCGUAAAAUUUACUUCUAAUUCAAAUGCAGUCCAGUUGAGCUUUUGUUGAGCUAGCAAACGGACCAAUCAAACAUAUACAAUUAGGAUUUAUUAAUUGUAAUUAUGUCCAGAAGCACCGUUCUGAUAAUUCACAAUUACAUAAUCAUGGAGCCAGUCCACAAUAAGUACUAUGAUUGAAAACUCAUUAUUGUAUACUCUUUACGAAAGUAAUUCAUCCAACUGUUUUGCCCAAUGACCUCAUCAUGUUUGCCUCAUAUGAUAUCCUUGAUUCCUUUGAGUUGAUGUGUUCUCGGGUUUGCUAAAUAGGCUGAAACCUAAGCUGCCAUUUCCAUCCUAUUUGGGACUAUGACGCAGGCUAAAGCUAAAGGAUUCAAAUAAGUAUUUGUGGGCUCUUAAGGCCCUAACCAUCCACUUUAUUUAUUUAAUUAAUUCCACAAUUUAUAAUUUUAAUUUUAUUUAAUAUGUGUCAUGAUUGUGUCGUUGUUAUUACAUUGUUUUAAAUAGAGUCUUAAGAAUGUCUAGUUUGCUACAUGUUUAAUGUGUCUUAAAAUAUGUUAUGGUGUCAUUAUUAUGUUCCAUUUUAUUACAACAUUGUUAUUAUGUUUAUUGUGUCCUAAUGGUGUGUUUAACGUGCCCUAGGGAAAUCUAAUGGCCUUCUUAAGAAGCUAAGGGAUUUUUCGCUUGGCUAAAAGAGAUCAAGCGCGUUCACACCUGUUCAAUUCAGCUUGAAAAGUGACCAUUCAACCAACAAGUGCUUCAUUAAGUGCCACUAUCCAAAUGAGGGCUGAACAUGGUUGUUGGAAACUUUUCUAGAAAAUGUCUAUUGGGUUUUUCCAUGCCUCAUAAAGCCGCCGUCCACCAAGGGGGAAGUAUAAGCCUUUUGAAGAAUUGCUUAGCCAUUUAGCAUGCUUGAAUUCUUCCCCAAUGUAAUUAAUGGCAACCUCUAUAUUCAAUGCUAAGAUGCAUGGACGACUAAGGUUAUGUACUUGAGUUUAAAGUAACAUUUCAUAUCUUUCACAUUAAGACCGAAUGUGGCCAUUAGCAUACCUAAGCUUAUAAAGAUUUUAGUCAUGUUAUUUUGUAAGGUUAGACAUCUUUGAAUCAAUAUUGUGAGAUUAUUCUCUUGUUCCUUAAGAACUUAUUUCUAACUUAUCAAGAAUUCAUUCUUGUGGCAUUCUCCCAUUUUUUAUCUUAUCACACCCCUUCUUAUCUUUCCGGAGUGUGGCAGUCAACCCUAUACCUUUGGUUCUUAUCUCUAUAUAGAUAGAGGGUCAAGGUUCUUCUUUUUUUCUAAGCUUCUUGAGUUUUAAACAACCAUAUAGAAAUCGGGUUGUGUUAUUUUAUAACGUUGGUUCAUUUUUGUUCAUUUUAAGUUCGUGAGUUAUAUCUUGUCAAGAACGAAUGGGAACUUAAUAAUCAUGACUCGUGAUUUCAAUACGUAACAAGGUUCAUGUCAUGAGUUAAAUCCGUUCACUCAAUAAAAUCCUAUUUUAUCCCAUUGUCACCAUUGUGUCUUUUUAAUGAUUAACAUGAUCACUGUUAACAAAUGGCUGUGAUAAAUUGCUCGUUCGAGAACAAGUAACCGUGGUCACGUUCCAUGUUUAUUAAUCCACACAACACCAAUGAGAGGAUAUCGUUAACUCUUUAAUUGAGCUAUAAAUUCCAUUAUUGCUAAUAAAGUCAUGCCAUACACAAGUCAUGUACCCAACAUACCAACUAACGGAUCGAUCAUCUUUACAACAUAAGCCUCCACUUAUAUCAAAGCACAUGAGUUACAUAUGCAUGGUCAUUGACUAACUCAAGAUUUUGUUAAAUCACACCAUAAAUGUCACAAGUGAAUUAAUUCAUCUUGGGUCCAAUCCAAUGUAUCAUUCUACCAAUGAAUACAUCUAUGUCUCUACUCGUGGAGUAAAUUGCUCUGAUAACCAGGACUAGUCAUCACCUCUAUUGGAAUUGUAGACGACAUAAUAAUCCUUCUCAGUAUUUGAAUCAAAUGCUCACUUUGAUUCUUUUAUGGGAUUACAGACUCUUUUAUAUUAUCUACUAAAGUAAGUUGUCUUUCUCGCCACGUAAACAUUUUUAUAAUUCAACUUAUAAUCAAUUUGAACUUAGAUAAUCAAUAAGUUAAUAUUUGUUUGUCACAAAUUCACUAUGCAUGCAAAAUAUGAAAGACAGAAAUACACAAGACAUAAUAGUAAAAUGUGAACUUUAUUUAUUCACCGUUCAAAUACAUAAAAAAUAAUUACAUGUUUACUACAAUAUGAGCACAUUUCCUAACACAACCAAGAAGGAAUUUGGCUCACGACCGUCGAACACCCGGAUGUGGCACACAUUUUGACACGGGAUAAUAGUUGAUUUACUUUAUUAUUGUACUUAUCAUGUUAACAUUUCAAUAAAUAUCAAACAUGUUUAUUGCAUCGAUGUCAAACAUCUUUAUUUUUUAAAAUAAAAAUAAUUGUUUCAUUAAAGUUGGCCUUUGUUAUAAAUUAUUAAUUUGUAUUGUAUAGCAAAAAUGUUUUUUUUUUGCAAAGUACAAUAAGUUGAUUACAAUAAACAAUUUAAUAGGUCUAUUCAUGAGGUGUUGUAAUUGUACCAUCCCUUCGGUGUGGACAUGAUGACAUUGUAUGCCUCGGAUGCCUUCACCACCCACAUAACGUUGGUUGGUGUGGCUUCUCUUGGAUAUCGAUGUUAUCGCAUAUCCAAGUGGACGUCGGUCGACCUUUUGGUUUGUGACAAAAUAAUCUAUCGGGUAACAACUUGAAUAGAGCGUUAGAUACAGAUGGCCACUUGCGUUCAUUAGGGACCUAUGGGAAUACAUUUCUCCACACGUUGUACAUGUUUACCUGUUUGUAGACUUCAUCCACAAAGCUUAUUAGAUCCAAACGUAGACUGCUACAUGCUACAAUUACAUGAGCACAUGGAAAUCGAAGUGCGUCAAAUCUCCCACAGUCACAGGUUCAAUAUCUGAGGUGUACAUGGUACGCUCCCCCAACAAUCUUUUGGUUGGGUCUUUCGAAUUCUAUUACCCAAAACCAUAAGUCUUCACGCGAGUGACACACUAGAUGCAUACAAUUCACUCGUGUUGUUGCCUUCCUAAUUUCUUUUAGUAUGUCCUCGCUCCAAACAUGGUCGCCCUGUAUCUGCCCAACAUAAUUCGCCGCUCGCUUUGGAAAAAUUUCAGCCAAACGGAAGUAUGUCACUUUGAUAACCGAGGUUACCAACAAAUGAUACGUUCUCUUCAAAGCAGAAUUGAUGCAUUCUGCCAGGUUUUUUGUCAUGUGCCCAAACCAUAGACCCUCAUCAUAGGAUUGUGUCCAUUGUUCAAAGGGUAUGUUACCGAGGUAGUCCGCCCCGUCAUCAUUAAUGGCCUGUAAGUUUCUCAGCAUUUCACAGAAACAGUCUUUGAAGAACUCAUACCCUAUCAACAAAAGUGAAUAAUAGUUUAUCCAUAAUGCCCAACAUUUUCUCACUGGUUAAAUAUCAAAGAAUAAUUAAUAGUAGCAAUUAUAUACCCAUGUUGAUCACUUGUGCUCAUGAGCAGUAGAGUCGUAUUAUCUAUGGUAAAUCGAUGAACAUGCCUUAGACAAUACCUAUGGUAUGUGUGGUCCCAAAGGCUUCCCUGUCGUCCAAAUAUGGCUAGAAUUUUAGGCCCUCAAUUUGAGAUGAUGCAAAUAUCGAGUUGGGGGAAAACAUGCCUCAUCAACUUAGAAAGGAAGAAUUCCAAUCAUCUGUUGGCUCUCCAAGCAUGAUUGCAAAGGCAAUCGGUAGGAUUUUUCAAUUAUCGUACUGUGCCACACCCAACAACAACCAAUGGGUAUAUCUCUCGUACAUAAAAGUACCUUCGUUUGUACAAGUGGCUUACAGUAUUGGAAUGCCUCUCGACAUUGCAUGAAAGUCCAAAACAAAUGUUUGAACACUCGGGAUCCAUGGAGCAACCGAUUGUUGUAGUACGCAACCUGAUACGUACAUCUUCAAGACCUGACACCACUGCCAUAUCUCAUUAUACGACGUAUUCCACCCACUAUGCCUUCUCCAAUGUCUUCUGCUUUACGAUCCACGCCUUGCAGUACGAAGACGUGUAAUCGAACUGGCUACAAAAAUUUACAAUUAGAACUAGCACAACAAUUUUAGGACUCGCUUUGACUACAGAGUAUUAUAUCUGCGAUCAUCUUUGAAUCCAAUUUUGAAUGGUCCCGUGAAAUACUUGUAACAACACGAGUACGUUAAGAUUAUCAAUUCAAUCGUGUCAUACACUAAACCAGUAUUAGUGCAGUAUCCGUGACAACACACGUAAACAGAGCGACAAAUUUCUCUAUCGUUCAUAACCCCGUUUUUCUCUUAACAGAUAUCAUGAUUUUCCAUGCAUAUCUGCUGUCUCGCAUUGCGCACUUCACCUUGAACUUGUCAGAUCGGGAUUUAACCACAUAGAAGUUUACCCCAUUUUUAAUUUUGUAUCGCUUCACUGUAACGAUAAAACCAUCUUCAGUUGAGAACUCUUUCCCCACUUCUAAAUCACCCGAAUCCAUCGAAGAAAUCGUUUGGCCCGACCUUCUAGGUGGUAAUUCUGCAAACUCCAUUCCAUCAUCUAUAAAUAGGUCCACAUUAUGCAUGUAGACUGGAGGUGAGUACGCCGUGAACCAUGGAUCUUUUUCAGCAUCAUUACUGAGACAUUUACCAUUUGAACCCUCUAUCUUUUAGUUCAGUUGGAAUCAGUUCUAAUUCAGAAAAUAAUGCAUUUUCUGAACCAUCAGCACCAACAUCUUCCGUGUCAUUCCCUUGUAAGUGUUCCUAGCAUUGAACACUAGCUAACUGAAGUUUAAAUCAGAACCACUAACUAAGUGUUGUGCAGGGGUCCUACCACAAAACCCCGAUUGAUCGGUGUUCUGACUGCUGUAGUUGAAAACUAGUGCUGAAACAGAUGGAUGUCUUCCCAUUUAUGAUUCUGGAUAUCAUAAUGGAAAUUUUCUAAUUGAGAGGUGAACCCACCACACAACUGUGUCGUUGGACUCUCAACUUGUUCUUCCAUUCUAGCCUCUCGAAUAGGAACAUAUGUCGACCUCCGAGGACCUUAUAUGUCCUUGUAAACUCCACAUAUAACUCGAAAAAUGGUGAUCCAAUUCCAAUAUGCGUCUGCACUAUCGCCUCUAACCCCCUCGCACCUUUGAUUUUGAAAGCGUCAUAUCUGAUAGGGUCGACUGAAGCACAAAAUUGAUAUUUAAGGGACAAUACUCUAAUCUGGUUGGAUCUGAUAAUUUUUUGCCUAAUUCUUUUCCAAAGUUAUGGCAAUUCUAUGUUCUAGUUAAAAGCUAACCGCGUUGUGUUCUCUGAUAAAAAAUGACACCAUUUUCGGUGUCAUGCACUUCACCAUCGUAGUAAACAAAAGCAUUCAUUCGUCCACUCAUUUUUAGAUCUAGAUAACCUAUUCCACAUGUUCGACACAAAAUUAUCAUGUAGAGAAAUAGUGUUGUAAUUAAAUAUGAACAACAAAAAUCAAUGCUACUUUAUAUAAUUGCUCCAACUUAUGCCUUAUAUGUGAACUUCUCCUCUUAUGAUCUUCUUACAAUUUUUCUUUACUCGUAAAUGGAUUAUGCCACUCGAUGUUGAAUUAAUUUGGUUUUAUAAACUAGAGGCGACUUGCAGUUGGUUCAGAAAAUUCUCCAGGCCUAGUGGGGAGUUAAAAAUUGUAAAGAGAAAACGCUCCAAGUAGGAUGCACUGUCUGAAAACACUUUCAAGUGGGCACACUUUCAAUGUUUCUAAUGAUAGUGUUGUUAGAGUAUGCCCAAAGACCAAUCAUGAUAUGAUUGCAAUAACUUACUUAUUUUACCUCGUUUAUUAAUAUAAGGCAUUGUCAUUAUUAUUUCAGUUUUUUCUAUGUAUAUAAAUAAACUAUUUUAGAUAAUAAUAUCUUAAGAAUAAUAUGAUUAUUCUUAGAAGGUCCUUAGUCGAGUAUUAUUGUGAGCUUGGACAACAAUAAUGCAUUAAGACUAACGUGUAGUUUAUUAAUGACAAAGUGUUUUCAUUGACAUGGCAUGUCAAAAUCAAUACAUGAGUAUAUGUGUGAACAACAUAUUGGACUAACCCGCUAUGAGUAUGUUUCUUGGAUUAUUAUGUAAUAGUCACAACGUUACUCAUAGUGAUUACUAUGUAUACGAUCCUCAAACUUAAAAUCAUCAUUAUCUUAACAUCAUGAGUCGUAUAUUUUGAUACAAUCAAACAUUCACCGUAACUGGUUGUUCUAUAAAGGCUGAUGUUGGAUAUACUACAAUCUAUGUAGUGGGAUAUGGUUGAUCAAUAUAAGAUUUGCCCUUCCUACAUAAUGGGAGCAAUAUCUUAGGCUACUUGAUUGAAUGAGACUAGAAAUGCAUGACCAUGCUCGAAUAAGUUGAUAUGAGAUAUCAUACUUAUUUGUUUAUCAUAGUCUACUCAGGAUAUCAAGAAACAUUCGAUAGACUAUGCAAGUGUGACUAUUCCAUAACUUGUGUCCAUUCUAGAUAGAAAGAACAAAAGGAUUAAUACAUGAAGGGUUAAUCACAGAGAGGUUAUGUUGAAUCAUGACUUCUUAUAACUUAGGUAGCAAUGAUGCAUUGCUAGAUGCCACUCAUUAUUUGUAAUAUUAGAAUCGUUCUAGUAUUACUGCUAACACUACAAGAACAUACAAGGUCACACUCUAUGGUUAAAACGAACGGAAUCCAAACAUAGUUGGUAAUAUUUUUAGCUGUCACAUGAAUUAAAUUGAUUAUAGAAUUAAUUUAAUUGAGCAUUUAAAUAUCGAACAAAUUAUAUGUACAAGCAUGUUGUACACAUAAUGAGAACAUGAUUAAAUUAAUAUAAAUGAAUUUGAUUUGUAUAAAAUUUAACUAAACAUAAUUUAUCGAAAUCAUUGUUAUAAUUGUUGUAAUUAUAAUUUACGAUCGAAUAUUAUUAUAAUUAUUGUAAUUAUAAUUUUUCGAUCAAACAUUAUUAUAAUUGUGGUAAUUAUAAUUAUUACAUUCGGUUAAUUAUUAUAAUGAAUUUUGAUUCAUAUUAAAAAUAUCAACUAUUCCCAGAUUAGGAAAUAUAGGGUUUUUAAGAAAACCUAAUAUACUUGAAAUAAAAAGAGUGAGGUCUUGCAGCCAUUCUAUAGUGAAUUCUCUCUGAAAAUUUUAAGAGAGUUCUUGUCGUUCGUUGCGACACCAGGUGGAUUAUGUAGAGACCGAAACUUUUUGUAGCGGCUUGGAAUCGACAUACAAUUGCGUAAUCAAUUUCACAACAAUUAUCUGUAGUUUUUCAGACGAUUAAAAGUAAUCGUUCAUACCCUUCUCACCCCGAUUCGUUUCUCGCACAUGGAUCCCUGGAUGUGAUCGCCAAAUUUAAUUUUUUUCGGUUGCACCAUGGGGUGUACUAGUGUUCUUACAAGUGCGUCCUACUUGGAGUGUUUUCUCUCUAUAAAUUUCAACCCCAGCCUUAUUCCAAGAAACUCAUCAUAUAUCCCAGGAUUCCUGAGAUAUAUUUUCUAAACUUAACUAUUUGAAAAUAAUAGAUAAGAGAAUAAACAAUUUACUAAAAAAUUGGAUCAAACAAAUAUUAAGAAAGCGAAAAAAUUAAUAACUAAUAUUUCAUCCCUCGCGAGUAGACCAGGUUUCGAUUAUGAAUCCAAUUCAAUUUUCCAAUUUGAAUAUACGAUUGGUGUAAAUACGAUGUUUUAAAUUUUGAAAUAAAUAGUUAUUAUUUAACAUCUCAAAAAAUUAUUACAAAAUAAAUAAUUAAAAAACUCAAAAAAAAAUUAUUAAACCCUAAACUCAAAAAACCUUACUUUAUAUACCCAAAACCCUAACCCUAAAAACUAAUAACCCUAAUUUUAAAAAGGUCUGGCAUUGGAAAAAUCAAAGGAAAAGUGUUUCUAGUUAGAAGUGUUUUCAGUUGACUUGGCAGAAAGUGCUUCCAACUGGAAACGUUUUUCAGGCAACACGUUGAAAAUGCUUCCAACUGGAAGUGUUUUCCAAAAAAUGGUCUAUUCCCGUAAUUUUUACUAAAAUCGGCCUAUUCACAUAAUUUUUUUGACAUUUAUUGGUAAGUUAGUCCAAUUAAAAUAAUUUUAAUUCUUGAAUUAAAAUAAGUUGAAUUUAGAAAGAAAAAGAAAGUCUACCUUGUAGCAUGUCUGUUUGGUUUUCUCUCUGUCUGCUUGUAAAAUGGUGGAAGAAAUGGUGAAUCUCAAUAUAGCAGAAGAUAAGAAAGAGCCGGUGCAAGCUUUGGGGGAUAAAGAUGUGGUAGAAGAGUAUUAUAGCCUAUGUUUGGUGGGGCGGGUAUUAACGAAUAGUGUGGUUCAUUUCCCAUUUAUGAGGAAUAUUUUGGUAGAUCUGUGGCAUCUGUUGGGGGGAGUAUCCAGCACGGAUAUUGGGGAAAAGCGAGUCCUGUUUUGAUUUUUCAAUAUGAUAGAUCUGAGGAGGGUGAUGGAUGGAAUGCCCUGGUUUUUUAACAUACACCUAAUUAUUUUCCAUUAACUAGAGAAGGGGGAAAGAUCCUUUGCAAGUCCCUCUCAUUCAUGCCUUAUUUUGGGUGUAAGCGCAUAAUUUGCCGAUGGGUUUCAUGUUCGAAGGAAUGGCGCGUAGAUUGGAAACUUUAUUCGCCAAUUUCUAGAGUAUGAUGUUGCGUUAAUAACAAGGAGAGUAAGGAAGUUUAUGCGUAUUAGGGUUAAAUUAGAUGUCCUGGUUCCGUUGAAAAGGAAGAAGCGUGUAGUCUUUUAGCAUAAUAGAUCCACAGAUGCACAGUUCCAAUAUGAGAAGAUUACUUUGUUCUAUUUUUUAUGCGGUAGGUUGGGCCACGGGGAAGGAUUUUGUCCUGUUAGAUUAAUGCUAGGAGCACAGGAGGUGGUUUUUGGUUGGGAUAGCUCGUUGUGGGCUUCACCGCAGAGGGCGGUGCCGGUUGCUAGUUGCUGGCUGAGGGAAGAUCCGGGGGAUGGAGUUGGAUAGAGGACAAGAGGGGAGGAAUUUUGGGGAUAUUCAAACUGCUCAAUCUUAUAACAGUGAACAAGCGUUGUUUUAUUAAUGAUAAUUUGAUAACAAUAUUGUUGAAAAUACCAAUUUGUUUAGAGCUACUGAAGUCUCUGUUUCUCCAGGUUUAUGAAAGCAAAUACAUGAAUGGUUACCUUUCCCAGUUGGCAUAAUUCCAGUAGGGGUGAAAGUAGAGUACUUCCUCCUCAAGUUGAACUCCAAACUUGCUGUCAACCUUAUCCUUCACCAAAGCAAUGAGAUUGAGCAUGUCUUGAGAAGUGGAGGCACCAUUAUUAACUAAGAAAUUGGCAUGGAUAUUGGAAACCAUUGCUCCUCCUAUGCUACACCCUUUCAAUCCAGCUUUAUCAAUCAACUCAGCUGCUGAAACACCCAAAUUCACCGGAUUCCGAAACACUGACCCAGCGCUGCGUUCAUUUACUGGUUGAGUUGCUCUUCGCCUGCAAAUAACAAUUGUUUAUCAGUAAGCAAACCUUUUUCAUACACUGGUUUUGACUUUAAAAGACAGGCAACCUCUUCAAAAGCUCUUGUUGCCUUUUCUUAGCUGACCCUGAGCGCUCUAACCGGAACGUAGCAGCCACGAUUGCUGCCAAGUUGUCCAUGUCCUGAAACGAUGAUGAUCGGUAGCCGAAAGUGAGAUCAAUUCUGUUCAGUGUCCGAAAAUUUCCUUCAGUUGUAACAAUGUCUACGCUUUCAAUAACAUUGGCAGUCUCCUUCAAAAACAAAUGAUCCUUUUUAGCUUCUUCAACCACGAAAAGUAACAAAAAUCCAUUAAUGGUUAGGGUUUAAUCUCAAGAUAAGUUGAAGUCUGAACUCGAGUUCCAUUCAAAAUUCGCAACCCAAAAUCCAAAUCGAGUAUGAUGAACUAUUUCAAACUUAUAUAUCAAAUAACUUUUCUCUACCUUCAACUUCAAACUCAAUUAUUUUUGCUCGAGCUUCGAACUCCAAAUUAGAAUACUCCAAUUCUGGAGCUCGACAAUGACCGAACCAAAUUGGAGUUAAGAAUUAGAGACAUACCUGACCAUUUGCUCCAGCAUUCAUGUAAGUUGCACCUCCUACAGUCCCAGGAAUGCCUGCUGCAAACUCAAGACCUGUAAAUCCUUCAUUGCAACUCAGACUUCCCAAGUGAUUAAAUCGAAAACCACUACCAGCCCUAUAAACUCCAGGUUCCAUCCUCUCUAAGAAGUCAAUCUGAUUUAGAAGCACACAACCAUCAAAACCCAGAUCAUCAAACAGACAAUUUGAGCCUUUGCCAAUCACAACGUAUGGAAUGGAAAACUCACGACAAUAUCUGCAUUACGUAUCAGUUGAAAUCUAAAAUGUUGGUCAUUGAAUCAAAGAGCUUUCAGCCUUGUCAAAAGAAUCAAAUUCAAAUAAAUUACCAUUUCUACUUUAUUAAGAUAAGGUUGAAGAUAGCAAGAAGAAUGAAACCUGAUGGCAGAAAGCAGAUGGGUUUGGUGAAAGACUUGAACAAAGUAAUUGCAAGGGCCACCAAUGCCCCAAGUGCUAAGAUCCUUCAAGAGUUUCUUGCCUCUGACGAAUUUCAAGGCAUUCCAAUUCUGGGUUUGCUCUUUGUUACUGGAAAAAAUGGGGGUUGAGUUUCUAGGAGAUUGAACAACGGGGAAGGCCAUGGACGCCAUUUUAGUGAAGGUUGGAGGAGUUGGGAGCAUGAGUGACGGAUUUUGUCGGGAAGUUGAGAACGGGAAAUUUAUUUCCAUCAGGUUCUUGAUGGGCUUUCACUAUCAAAGAUUUAAACACUUCCGUUUAAUGCGUUAUUACGGUAAAAAGUUCUUUCACUCCACUCAAUUUGGGAAAUAGUAACUGAGGGUUAAUUUUAUAUAAUUUUGAUUAAUAAUAUAAUUACAUAUUUUAACAAUUUAAUUUUAAUCCUAAAAAUUUAAUAAAUUUAACAUUUAAUAUAUAAAAAUCAAUAAAAAAAUACAAUUUAAUCUUCAGCACCCAUAGCAAUUCUUCCUCCUAUCUUUGGAUCCUUCCAUCUUAUUUUUGAAUUCUAAAGCUCUAAAUACUUUCACAAAUAAUGUUUCUUUUUUCUUCUUAAUAUCUGAAAAUCGUAAAGAUUCAAGGAAGCUUCUUUAGAUUCACUUUAAGACGGUAAUGUAUUCCAUCGACAUCCAACCUCUUUUGUAAUAAGUCGUUGAUUAUUUUUAUUAUUUUCCUCCAUCGACUAUAUUUUUCUUCUCAUAUUUAGUUCCAAUCAACAUAAUUAAUCUGUUUCCAUUCCCAUAUUAAUUGCUUUUACUUUUCCUUUUUCUUCCCCUUCUUGAGGUUAAGAAAUCCCAUAAAAGUAAUUUUUUUUAAUCAAUUGAGGUGUUUGUCUGGGUUUGGCUUAGUUGCCCAUCUCAACAAAGCAAAAGUUUUGAGAAAUUGGGUUUUGAAUUCUACAUUGGAUGGGUUUUGAGAAAUUGAGGUUCCUCCGUUAGAUAGGUUCAACGCCAUUUAUAUAUGUAAAAAGAAGAGCAUUCAAUAUGGGAAUGGAAAUUGGAAACAUUUUAACUUUACCACCAUCGGAUCAUGCCCAAACUCAAACCAGCAGCACUUUUCUUUUUCCAAAAUUAGAGAGCAAAGGGAAGUGAAAUAAUAUAAUAUGUCUUGAUUACCAACAAUUGCGGAUCUAAACCAUUGCUUCCAGCAUUCACCUCCAAUGGGUCAUUCGUAUCUAACAGGAUUUCGAAUAAAUUGCCUGAAACACAUAGUUGGAAAUUUUGAGUAUUUUUAAAAUAUAUUUUUUUAAAAUUUGAGAAAAUUUGAAAUUUAUAUAUAUUUGAAGUUUAUUUUUUUAUAUAUAUUUUAUUCUCAUAUAGUUUUUCAUUUUAGAAUCAAAACCAAAUUGAUUGAAGGUGUAAAUACUAAGGGUUAAAUUUGAUUUGUUUUAAAAAUUGGAACCAAUUUGACAAAAUAUGAAAAUAUUAAAUGCUAAAAUUGUUAUUAUACCAAUUAAAAUUAUUUAAAGCUGGCAAAAAAAAUGAUCGUCCUUAGUUGCACAAUUUUGAAAUUUUUAGAGAUUAAACUACUUUGUUUUUUUAGAAGAAUCAAUUUAAUCAAUAUCGAAUUUGACAAGGACAGGGGAGGUCUUUCCACCAUGUUAAUUACUAUAAUUUUAAAUUUCUGAUAUUUAAACAAAGAAGGGGAAGAAAUACUGGAUGGCAAUUAAAGUGGAUUUAGAGAAAGCUUACGAUAGAAUUCGGUGGGAUUUCAUUAGUGAUACUUUGUUGGACGUUGGAUUUCCUUCGAAUUUAAACGAGGUGAUUAUGGAGUGUAGUACUUCGGCUUUCAUGCAGAUAUUAUGGAAUGGAAAACCUUCAGUCUAAUUUGUUCCAAGGAGAGGCAUUAGACAAGGAUGUUGUAACAGCCCGUUUUCGAUAAAAUCGGAACAAUGGUUUCGGGACCACAAAUCUAAUUUCGGAAAAAAAUUUAUUAUUAUAUUAUUUUAUAGUCUAUAGUAUGAUAGUAAUGUCAUAUAAAAAUUUCGUAAAGAAAUUUUACCGAUUACAUGUUUAAUUUGAUAAAGUACCAAAUUGCACAAAGUGCAAAAGUUGAGUUCUAAUAGCUAAAGGGAUUAAAUAGCUAUAGAACUUUAAAUUGGAGGUCCUUAUAUGGUAAAUAGACCAUUAAAAAAACUUAGUAAUUAAGAAUGAUGAUUCAUCCAUGGAAAAUAAAAUAAAGAAAAGGAUGAAAUUAGAAAGUGAAAUAAUAAAAGAUAAUAAAUGAUGAAAAGAUAAAAAUAUCAUCAUUUAUAUCAUCUUUCCCAAAUUAAAAGCAUGGAAACCCUAGCACUGGAAACCUAAGCUCAAGCCAACUUAUUUUGCUUGAUUAGGUAAUUAUUCUUGCCCGUUUUUAAUAAUUUUUAUAUUUCUCAUAUCGUAAAAGCUUAAUCUAGCUAUCUUCAGGAUUAAUUUGCAAAUUUAUCAAGGUACUAGGGUUUUUCCAUGGAUGAACAUAGAUGAAUUAUGAAGUUUUAUGAUAGAAAAUGAAAGGUUGUUGAUAAACAACUUUUGUAAAGCGAAUUUUGAUGAAAUUAUGAUUUAGGAACUAAAUUGAAAAGAUAUAAAAUUCAUGAAAAAAUUCUAAAUUUUAUGAAAUACAUGGGCUGUAAAUUUUACAUGUAAAAAUCGACUAGGCUUGGAAUAAGGAUUAAAUUGCAUGAAUUUUAUUUUUCGAACUUAGGGACGAAAUCGUUAUUAAUUAAAAUUUUAGGGGUAAAAUGGUAAUUUUUUCUGAGAUAUGGAUUGAAUUGAAAUGAACAUGAAUUAAUGUUAAAUUCAUCAUAUAGAUUCGGAUAGACCAAAUUCGAAGUUAGAACGAGGAAAAGAGAAAAUGUUGGAUUAGUAAAUUUUGCGUACACGAAUAUUUGUCGAGGUAAGUUCGUGUAACUAAAUUAUGUAUAUUAAUAUGUUUUAAUUGAAUGUUGUGUAUGUGAACUGUAUAAAUGCUAAAUAUAUGAAAUUGAUUACAUAUCCGAAAAAGCCCGAUAAAUAUUAAAUCUCGUUUGAAUAAUGGAAUUCGAUGGAUACAGAAUUUCCCAAUUGGUUGUAGUCCUGCAUGUGUUGCGGACACACCACAGCUCCUACGAGCAUCCUGUUAUAAGCCCUCUCAAGCUUCUUGUUAUAUGGUUCCUACAAGCAUCCUGAUCGAUAGUGAUCUUGCAUGUGUUGCGGACUACCGCAGCUCAUUGUGAUCGUCCUGUUAUAUGAUCGGUUGUGAUCCUGCAUAUAUUGCGAACACAAACACAGCUCCUUAUGAGCGUCCAGAUAUGGCUCGUUUGAACUUCCUGAUAUAUGGUUAUCCGGAGCUCCUGAUUAAAAGCUCUUCGUGAGCUUCUUAAUUAAAAGUUCUUUAUGAACUUCCUGAUUAUUACUCUUAUGAGAUUCCUGUUAUAUAGCCUGGAUAAGCUUCCUGAUAGGCUCUUUAUGAGCUUCCCAAUUAAUGGCUCUUUGCGAGCUUCCUGUUAUAUGGUUUAAGAGAAGAUUUCUCGAUUAUGUGCUAUAAAGAGCACUCUUGAACAUGAAUUGACAGAUUUCUAAUUUGUACACUUCGAGUGUACUACCUGUGUAUCCAUCGAUAUUUCAAAUAAAUUCAACGGGCAAAAUCCUGACAUGAGAAAAUAUGAACAUGAAAUGAAUUAAAACACGUAUCUACCUGAAAUACAUGAAAAUGAUGAUACAUGAUAUAUGGAAAUACGAGAUGAUAAUAUAUGAACAUGGAAUUUGUUUGAUAAAUAUGUUCAUCCAUGAUUAUAGAUUUGUACACCUUGAGUGUAUUACUCGUGUGACACUAACAUUUCAAAUGAUUCAAUGGGCAAAGUUCCGACAUGAAAUAAUCUGAACUCGAGACGAAUUAUCAUGAAAAUGUACUUGAAAUAAAAUUAAAUAUCAUUUUACUUGAUCUGUAUAUUUCGGUAAUGCUUCGUAACCCUAUUUCAGAGACAGAUACGGGUUAGGGGUGUUACCGAUGUCCAAUGUCUCCUUAUAUCUUAGUGCUUUGUAAGGAAAAAUUGGGUCAUUUAAUUCAUAAGAAUGUUAAGAAUAAACUGUGGAAACCAAUUGUUCAGGGUAAGAAUGGCCUCCUUUAUCACAUCUUUUAUUCGUUGGUGACCUGUUCUUGUUUGCUGAAGUAGAUAUUGAUUAGGCUAAGGUCUUAAAAAAUGUUCUCAACACUUUUAGAGACGUCUUGGGACAUGAAGUCAAUAGACUUAAAACCACUGGCUCUUCUCUAGCAACAUAGACUCCAACCAUGCUAAUGCCAUCUGUAGUGUUUUUGGUUUUUUCCAGACUGAUGAUUUGAGGAUUUAUCUGGGACUACCUCUCAUUCACUGAUGAAUAACAGUGAACUCUUUCAAAUUCAUUGUGGACAAAGUUAGACGAAAGUUGGACAGUUGAAAUGCCAAAAACACUAUCUGUGGUGAGAUGAGUAACUUUAGCUCGGCCAGUUUUAUUGUCGAUUUCUAAUUAUUUUAUGCAAACUGUGAAAAUCUCGUUUAGUAUUUGUACAGAAAUUGAAAAAAUUGCUCAGUGAUUUAUUUGGGGGAGUUAUGGAACCUUUCAAAAACCAGUGUUGGUAAAAUAGGGAGAUUGUUGUCAACCUUUGCAUAAUGGGGGCUUAGGUAUCUGGAGACUUAAGGAACAAAAUGAUUCUUUUUUGCUUAAUUUGGGAUUUAAUCUCCUAACCAAUGAGCAAGCUUUGUGGGUAAGGGUACUCCGUUCUAAGUACAAGCUCUUGGAGGAUUUUUCUAAAGACAUUUCUCGAAGCAAAUGUUCUCUUGUCUGGAGAUUGCUUGCGAAGGUUUAACCCAUUUUGCGUUAUAAUUUUAUUUGGUCAGUUGGUGAUAGGAAUUGUAUAAAAUUUUGGACUGUCAAUUGGAUUUCUGAAAUAGGGCCGCUUAUAAACCAUGAUUUGGUUCCCUCUCUGGUUGAUGUUUCUAUUAUGCUUCAUGAGGCGGUGGAUAUAGAAGGUAUUUGGCACUGGAAAUACUUGAGGUGUUUUUUAAAUGAGGAUAUUCUAUCUUAAAUCAGAGGAAUUUCGACUAUGAAUUCUUUAACAGGCUAUGAUGAUGUUAUUUCGAGCUGGGCAGCUAAUGGAAAAUUUAGCAUCAAUGAGGCUUACUGUAAGCUAACAAUUAACUCAUUGAAAAUGCAAGAAGAAAAAUGGAAUCUUGUUUGGUAUUUGAAUGUCUUACAACGUGUUCAACAUUUUAGUUGGAUUGUGUAUAAGGGACGUCUCUUUACUAAUUUGGAAAGGUGUAGACAAGGAUUGUCAGAAUACCAUCAUGUAAGAUUUAUGGGAAUACAGAAGAAUCUAGUCUUCAUGUUUUACAAGAUUUUCCUAAGGAAAAAGAAGUGUGGAAUCAAUUAAUCCCUCACAGAAUUCAGAUAAGUUUUUUCACUUACUCCUUAGAGGAUUGGCUGACUUUAAACAUGGAAAAUAAACUUGAGGUUACUCUCUAGGAUGCGGAUUGGCCAUCUUUGUUUGGGAUUGUUUGUUGGAAAAUUUGGAAACAGAGAAAUGUGUGCGUGUUUCAAGAUGACCAUUGCAACAUAAGCAGUUUGAUUCAUUCUUCGUGGUUAUGGGCAAGGUCCAUUAAGUAGAGAUAGAUAAGUUCGAGAGGGAGUAAUGGGAAUCAAAUAAGAAGCCAAAGAUGGGCCCCUCCACCUAUUGGUUUCUUUAAAAUAAAUACAGAUGGCGCUUGCAACUUGAGUUUGGGUUCUGCAUGGUCAGCAACGGUGACACGUGAUAAGCAUUGUGACAGCCCAAAAUUGACCCUAGUCGGGAAGUGGUUUCGGGACCACAAAACCGAGUCAUAAAAAUAAUUGAUUUCCAUAUUCUAUGCUUAUUAUGUGUGUACAUGAGUAUGUGGAAGUUUCAUUCUCCAAUUUUGCCAAUUGCAUGAGAAAUUAUUAAAUAGGGAUUGAUAUGAGACAUGGUGAAAAUAUGAUAGGCUAAUUUAAAAUGGUCUAUUAAUGCAUGUUGUGAAAAUGAUGGGUUUGCAUGUCAAAUUACCCAAAAUUUGAGCUAGUGGUUGGCCAUGCUAUGGGUGGAAACAUGUUGGGAACAUGUUGGCCUAGUGAGGUAUGUAGGAAAAAAAUAAAAUAAUAGGCAUGGAAAUUAAAUAAUGAAAAGGAGCAUGAUGAAUACACAAAAAAAAAAGUGUGUAGUUGAUUCUUUUCCCCCCCAUGGCCGUGAGCUAAAAAAAAAAAGAGAGGAGAAGAUCUUUGUUCAUCCUUUUCUCACCUUCAUUUAGCCUAAAUUAGAAAGAAAAACAAAGAAAAAAAUUUCUCAUCCUUUGGUUCAUCCUUGGCCAAAAAUUUUAAUGAGGAAAGAAGAAGAAAGGUGAAGAGAUUCGGCCAUGCAUGUAGCUAGGCUAAGGUAUGUUUGAUGAUGUUCCAUGAGAUGCAUGCAUGUUUUAGUUGUUAGCUUGAGUUCUACCUAGCCCAUGGUCUAAAUCUUGCUAUGUGAUGGAAAUGGCACUUGACCAUGGAUGCAUCAUUCUUGGUUGAUGUUUGAUGUUGUGGUGAUGAGGCAUGAGGAUGAGUUAAGAUUCGGCCUAGGUGGAGGUCGUGUUAAUGCCAUUGCAUGCAAAAUAUGAAGCUUGUUAAUGAUGCAUGUGAUGAUGGCUUGAUGAUUUUUGAACCUCCUUUUUAGCAUUUUUGUGUGAGCACAUAUGUGCAUUGAUUGCUAAAUGGAGAAGAAUCGGCUAGCAAGAUGUGUGCUAAGGCCGAAUGUAACUUUGCAUGUUAAUGAGCAAUGCAUGUGUUAAAUUGAUGAAAAGGGGGAGGAUGCUUUACUAGUGUGUAUAUGUGUGUAUUAAGUGUUGAAAUCGACCCCAAAAAUAGACAUGCAUAUUCGGCCAAGGGGAAAGAAAUUAGCUAAUAUGUUGUGUUGAUGCAUGAUUUUUGCAUGUACGAGACUUUAAUGUCUAAUGUAUAAAUAUGGGCUAAGUGCCUUGUGUUCAUCUUUUUGAUGCCUAAAUGAUGAAAUCAAUUUAUUUGUUUAAUUAAGCUCAAGAGCAAAGGGGAAAUAAAUCCGAUAAAGGGAAGGAAAAAGUGGUCGAAUAGUUAGCGGAAUCGUUCGACAACACCCGAGGUAAGUUCUUGAGUAAGAGAGCUUAAAUUACGAUGUGAUUAAAUCAUGUUUUAAGCAAAUUAAAAUCAUGCUCUAUGUGUGGCUAUUGAGCCGAAUGUGCAAGGACGAUAUGUGCCUUGUGUUUGAGUUUCGCAAAUGAAAAUGAAAUAUGAAUGUGCCAUGAAUUAUUGUUAGAUGUGCAUGAUUAAUUGAAUGCUGUCCGGGCUAAGUCCCGAAGGCUUUGUGCUAAGUGAAUAUAUCCGGACUAAGAUCCGAAGGCAUUUGUGCGAGAUACAAGUUCCGGGUUAAGCCCCGAAGGCCUUUGUGCGAGAUACUAAAUCCGGGUUAAGUCCCGAAGGCAUUCGUGCGAGUUAUUAAAUCCGGGUUAAGUCCCGAAGGCAUUGUGUGAGUUACUAAAACCGGGCUAUGUCCCGAAGGCAUUUGAACGAGGAGCUAUAUCCGGUUAAAUCCCGAAGGUAUGUGAUUUGGUAAUGAAUGAGCUUGCUGUAAAAUUCCAGCGAAUACACGAAAAACAUCCCAAUAUGGGGAUAUGUUACGUAUGUGUUGAAUUUAGUCGAGCCCGUACAAAUAAAUGUUCGCUCAGUUGAUAAACGAGCUACCGGCCUUCGGCUAAGUUAGUCUAUUGUGUAUGUACAUAAUGGUUGUUUAUGUUGUGAAGCAAGUUUGAUAUCGGUAAAUUGCGUAUUAUGAAAUAUUCCGUUUAGCUAAAUGUGUGUUAUACUUUGUUUAUGCUGGAAUUCCUUGCUCAAAACUUACUAAGCAUAAAUUGCUUACUUGUUACACUGCUCCUCUGUUUUAUAGAUUUUUGGUUCUCCAGCUAUCGGACUCGGGAUCUUGAAGUCGAAGUCGCCCACACUAUCAAAGGCUCUUUUGGGUACUAUUUUGGUUGAAUUUUGAUAUGGCAUGUAUAGGACUACCCAUUGUUGUUUUUCGAGUACUUUAUGAAAUGUAUAAGUGUACAGCCAUGCGAAAAUGGCUUGUAGAAGUAGAAUAUGGCAUUAGACCAUUCGUGUUUAUGAAUGUAUAGAUGGUUUCAUGAUGUAACUAUAGUUGGAAUGGAAGUGUUGAGCAAAUGAUCAGCCAUUGGAAUGGCUAAGUAUGAUCAUAUGUGGGCAUAUGUAUGACAAGGCCCUAGUUGGUCCAUGAAACCCCGAAAAUAGGUAGUGAAUAAAUAUGUAAUCGAACCUUGAUGAAUCUACUUUCAUAUGAAAGUAACGAAACAAUCAUACGGACAGUAUGUUAAGAGAUAUUCAGGUUCUCGUGAGACAGGGCCAGAACGGUUUCUGGAUUCCCUGUUCCGACUUUGGAAAUUCAUUAUAAAUUAACCAGAGAUAAUUAGGAGUCAUACCAUAUAUGUAUAGAUUCCUCUCUGAGUCUAGUUUCUAUAGAAAUAAACGGCAUCAGUAUUGGAGCCCUGUACAAGGAGAUAUCCAAGUCGUAAUGCGCAAAGGUCAGGGUAGUCGAUCCCUGUAACAUGGGAGACUUUGACUAAUAAACUGUACUAAUUGGCCCAACCAAAAAUUCUAGAAAAAAAUAUGUAGAUGGGCAUAUGAGUCUAGUUUCAGGGAAAAAUCACGAAACUGAUUUUCGAGUUGUGAAGCUCAAGAUAUGAUUUUUAAAGCGACUAGUACACAGAUUGGGCAGUGUCUGGAAAUUUUUCAAAGUUUGUUAACACCUCGUGUUCGACUCCGGUGUCGGACUCGGGUUCGGGGUGUUACAAGCAUGGUAAUUGGAUGUGGGGAAUAGGAAGAAGUAUUGGUACAUGUAGUGUACUACAAGCUGAGCUUUGAGCAAUAUAUGAUGGCCUCUGUUUUGCCUGGGAAGCCUAAUGGGCAAAUGUUAUUAUUGAGAAAAAUAGUGUGCAAGCUAUUAAAGAUGUUGUGCGAAUCCAGGAACUUUGCCAACGCGAAUGGAGAGUGCUCUUUAAAUAAGUACCAAGAGAGGUGAAUUUGACUGCUGAUAUUUUAGCUGGUUUGAUGAAAGAUGCUCCUAUUGGCUUAAGAAUAUUUCAUGCUUCCCCUUCACAGGUUGAUGAUCAAUUAUAGACAGAUAGACGAGUUAUGCUACUCAGCAUUGAUAUUACUAUUAGCUUGUAAUUGAAGCUUUUUAUUUCUUGUUACAAAAAAAAAUCUGAUAUUUAGGGUUAGUUUCACUGUAGGAAGUAUAAGCCAUAUUUGAAUUUUAGAAUGUCAGUAUUUUAAAUUGUAUUAUUUCAUUUGAAUAAAUAUUUUAUAAAAUAAGAAAAGUAUAUUAAAAACAAAGGAUCCUAUUAAAAAUUUAGCCUAUAUUUUCUUUAAAGGUUUUUUUUCUCUUUGUGAGUUGUUUCGAGUAAGAUCUCGAGUAUUUUUUUUUGUUUCUUUGUCUUGUUUUUGGUUUCUUAGGAUUUUCCUUUAGGACUUUUUGAGUUUGUUUUUAAGAAUUUGGUCGUUCUUCUUUUUCGAUUGUUUGUUUUAUUAUUUUGUAGGUUUUUCUUUCAUUUCCUUUUGUGGAAGUUGGCAGUGUUAUUGGCCUUUAACAAGGGUUACAGAAGGCUUGCACUUCAUUAAUUUUCUAACUCAUUAUGGGUCAAGAGGGUAGAGGUUAUGGAGAGUGAUUUCUCUAUUAAUUUAAAAGAAGAUAGGGCGGAGGUUGACUGUAUGGUGAGUUGUACUUUGAUUGGUAAGGUUAUUUAUGAUAAGAAAUUGUAUCGGAGGAGUGUCAGUAAUGUGCUGCAAAAUAUUUGGUUUUCAAAUGAAGUGGAAUCAGUUGUAGAAAUGGGGAUUAGUUUGUAUACGAUAAAUUUUUAAAGUUCAGCUUGGAUGGAGAAGGCUUUACGUGAGAGUCCUUGGUUGGUGAUGGGGUGUUUCUUUGUCCUAAUGAAGUGGGAACCAGAUAUGGGUGUUCAAGAUAUUGAUUUCUCUAAGGUGGCUUUCUAGAUCUAGGUACACAAUUUGCCUCUUAUGAUGUUAACUAUGCAAAAAUCCUAAGAAGGUUGAUAACAUAAUUGGGGAUUUGGUUUGUGUAACACCCCUCACCUGUCUCCGUUACUAGAUUAGGGUUACGAGAUGCUACUAUACAAUACAUAACAUAAUUAUGCUAUAUCAAUGCAAUACAUUCCCAAACAAUUGUUAACUAUCAAAUUUGUAAUCAUGUCAUUCAUAUCCUAACGGUAUUAAAUCGAGCUCAACAAAUCUAUAAAACAAUUUAAAACAAAGUAGGGACUCAUUUGAAACAUUUUAGAAAAGUGAGGUAAAAAUGAAAAUCACACAGCUGUGUGAAUCUAUAGGACAUGGUCGUAUUGACUAACCGUGUGGGAGGAGGUACACGAUCAUGUCUCCAAACCAUGUAACUAACUGAUGUCGUGUGUGCCAAUUGAAACUUAAAUCACAUAGACCACACGGUCAUGGCAUACACCCGUGCAUGGCACAUGACCGUGUGCACCUAAAUGACACUUUCUCCACAAGUUACCUAAUUCAAUUUCCUUAGGCCACAAGCAAUAUUAAACCAUCAUUCAAACCUACUCAAAGUCAUCAAAAUAUACCUAAAACAACAUCUAUCUCAUACAUCCUAAGUGUUUAACUAAUAUGCUACAUUUGACACCUUAAUUCAAACAUAUUCAAAUUCAUAUUUAACAACCAUCAAUUCAUAAAACAUAUGCCUAAUAUUUGAACCAUUUCAUCAAUCAUAUACCAAAACAAACCAUACAAAACAUGGCCAAAACAUCCUUAAAUAUGUACAUACUUAAUCACCAAAAGUACCAACUUAGCAAAAUACCUCAUCAUUAUUCACAUAGCCAAACCCUACCACAACUUGAAUAUAUAUAUGAAAUCAAAACACCUACUACAUGGAACUUAUAACCUACCCAAAAAUGGUCAAAAUUCUACCGAGUCAUUAAACUGAUAGUGUGAGCUCGGACUUGACUUCCAAUCGACAAUGACUUUCGAUUAUCUAAAAAGAAUCUAACAGGACGGACGUAAGCAAUUAUUGCUUAGUAAGCUCAUAUUAAAAUUAACUCAACUUACCAAUUUUUCAAGAAAACAACUAAAGCAUGGAUUAUACCAAUUCGCAGGAUAAAUUCUAUGCUCAUGGUUAGCCUAUACAAAUCACAAAUAUUACAAAUUAGUACUUGUCACACCCCAAGUUUAGCGGAUCUAAGAAUGAGGCAUGUAGUUGUGAAGUUAUUUGUUUGGCGUAGUGUAAUCCACCAUGUUAAGUUUUCUGACGAAUUGAAAUGUGGCAUAUAGUACCUGCCAUUGAGUAAAUAAAGGUAUUAGGUUAUUUUGUUAUCUAAGAGAAGGACAUAUCAAGCGAAGUUCGGUCAGGUAAAAGUUACUGCCAAAUGUUUAGUAUGCCUAAUCUGUUUGAAUAUUGUGCUAGUUGGAUUGUAAAGUGAUCUGGUUAGGCUGGUCUAAUAUCCAUUAUGCAGGAUUUUCAUUUAAUUUUCUCUCAGAAUCUAUAGGCCAUUAAGAAGGACAAAUUUUGAAUUAAGUGAUACUUGUUAAGUUCCACGAAGUAGGACUGGAGAGUAUAUAUAUGUGAGAAGGGUUUGUCAGGACGUUUUCUUCUUCCUUCAGUAUUACUCUUUGGUUCUAUUUUUAAAUUUAAAUGUUACUUGAUCUACCACAAAUCAACGUGGCAAAUUAGGAUUGACGCACUUGAUGAUCUUUUUCUCGAGCAAAAUAGAGUUUUUAGCAAUUUUUUUAUUUUCAUAUUUUUGGGUAAUAAGUGAAAAUGUCUUCAUUUUGUCUAUUUUUUCCCAAAUUGGUAGAUAGUGCCAUUGGGAGGUCUAACGUGUGUUUGAAUGCAGUAGGGACGUGUCAAAGGUCGAAAAUGAGCGAGAACGACAUCUAGGGCAAGGGUAUGCGUUAUCCAACCUCUAAAAUCGCGAAUCCUAUUUUGAGUUUUCAAUAUGAUAGAUCUGAAGAGGGUGAUGGAUGGAAUGCCCUGGUUUUUAAUAGGCAUCUUAUUAUUUUCCUUUAACUGGAGAAAGGGGGAAGAUCCUUUGCAAGUCCCUCUUAUUCAUGCCUUAUUUUGGGUGUAAUGCCUUUGUGGUGAAAUCAGGGUAAGUUUAGAGACUCAUUUGCUAGAUAAAUCUGUGGAACAGAUUUGGAUAAGUUUGAAAACAUCUCUAUUUGGAUAGCCUUGUGAUAAAAUUGAGUAUGACUUAAAGGCAAUUUCUGAAAGAGUCUCAAUAGUGUUUCUAAAGGGUGAAUCAACCAUAGUAGUCUGUCAGUACAAGUAAUUUGGUAUAUUCGUAAUUAUGAGUAGCCUAAGAGUUUGUCAGAUUUGAAUUUGUUUUCUUUAUGUAAGGAAGCAAUUUGAAUUAUCUGGUAUCUGUCAAAUCUGAGUGUUUCACAUUAUAGAUAAAAAGGUUAUCUGAAGUAUAAAUUGUCCAUCAAAUCAGAGUGUUCUCAUUAUAUGUAAUAUGGUUGUCUGGGAUUCCACUGGAUGACUUAGAAGACUUCACCCAUCAGAAUAAGUUAUGAUCUGGGUUGAUAUAAGACAUGAUCUGACUAGUAAUCUGAUAGCUGUCAAUUCAUUAUGAGAAUCCACCAAAUGUAAGAUUUGUAUGAAGCUUGUCUUAAAAGAUCAGUUAGUAUUAGUAUCAACCAAGAAUAGUAUCUAUGAGUACCCCAUCAUGGGGGAGGUAUUCAACAUCUGACUGAGUGAGAAUCCGUCAAAGUUAGGUUUUGUAUGGAUACCUUUCUAUGAAGUGUAUUCAUUUUUUGAAAAGGAAUGAGAUCUAUAUUGAGUGUUCAAGACUAGAAUCUGCUCAAUUAGUGAAUUGUAUGUAGGGUGUUUGAGUAUGGAAGUUGGCAUAUAUGCAUACACCCAAUAUUAAGGAAGUACUCGCCAAAGUUAGAAAGGAAAUCCAGAAUCUUUCAAGAUGAGGAAUUAAACAACAAAUGUUGCAAGGUGAUUUGAGUUAAAACUCACUAAUUUCAUUUGAACUUACAAAUGUUUGUUUAUGUUUCAAGUUUCGCCUUAAGAGUAGGUACGCCAAAAGGGACCAAGCCAGGAUUGUGCCAAUGUAGCAGUUCAAGUGGCAAAAUUAUGCAUACAAAGCGCACUAUAAGAGUAUGGUGUAUAGUACUCUACGCUAUAAAGAGUUAGUUUCAAGCUGUAACGUUAUAUGUUUUUCAAACUUUGAUGUAAUCAUCAAAUAUCUAUUUUAAGAAUAGUACAAAAGAAAUAAGAAAUAUAUAUAUUAGAAAAAUUUUAUGCCUGUUGUAAAAUCUCUGCUAAAUGCUCUUGUAUUGAAUUCGGUGAUUCGGGUCAAGUAGAGGGUGUUAUAAUCUUUUCAAUUUUUAACCGCUUUUUUGCACGACCCAUACGGCCCUAUAUAUUUCUCAACCUAUUUUUAACAUAAUUUUUAAUGUUAAACUAAUCCUAAACAUCCCCUAAGCCCUUCUAAUAGUAGUUAAUCACCUCCCUUCCAUCGUUGUUUUAAGCUUUCGCCAUUUUUUUCGCGAGUUCCUUUGUUCCUGCCACGCCAUUAUUGUCGCCUCUCUACUGCUCACCUCUAUUGUCAGCCGCCUCGUCAACCAACAAUCUCAGUAAAAUGUUUUUAACUUUUGUGCUUUAUUUUUUUAUUUCAUCGUAUUAGUUUAUUUUCGGAGUAUAUUUUUAUAUUACAUUCAAACGGCCCUGAGAAAAGUUUUCCCCACCUCGCAAUUGAGUGAAUUAGGAGAAUUUAAUUCUACCCGAUUUUGAAGCCAAGAAGUUGAAAAAUACUUCUUGGAACUCCAAGGGAAGAUUUUCAUUCAAGAACGCGGGUUUGACUAGUCGUUCGACUUGAACGAUGAAAUUUGGGACUUGAUUCGUGUGAACCAUUCGACUGACUUUUGUCUCACAUAAAAAGAGUCAGCAAUUGACUCUGUUGUGUACGAGUUUUAUGCCUUGUUAAAAGAGCGAGAAAAGAAUAAAGCAUAGCACAAUGUGCACCCUCAUGCGAUCAUCUGAGGCAAAAAGCUCAUGUGUACUCCCCAAAAAAUUUACAACUUUUCUAAUGCCCCAUACUAUGUCUCUGAUGCUUUAGAUGCAUUAGAUAUUAAUCAUUUCAGAGACAUAGAUAUGGAUGAGAUUGUUACUUACUUAACCGAGGGGAGAGAAGUUUGGAAAUACCAAUCGAACACCAACAUCCCAUUAUUGUUCAAUAAGAAAUAAUGUUCUUGGUUUCCAAAAUAUGGAUGCAGUUUAUCUAUACGCUAAUCUCACCAGCUUUAAAUGUGUCUAACCUUAAUGCAUUUUGAGUUAUUUUUUUUAUUGUAUCUUGCAACGUCGAGAAGUGUGCAUGAGUGAUAACUCUUGAAAAGAGUUAUAUUUAAGGCCUCUAAAUAGAAUUAAUUAGUUGUAAUUAAGUGAAUACAUUUUCAUUUUUAGGAUAUUUUUAGAACAUUGCAUAAUAAACCUUGGAUUGUGAUAUAAUGGUCAUUAUUUGUUACUUUUAUAACUUGGGGAGGAAAUGUGUGGUUUUGUGUGAAUACAGGUGUAAGAAGAGCAAGAAAAUGAAGAUGGAAAAUAAAGGAAGUGAAAUAUUAUCGUAGCAAAUAGUGAAAUUGAUUGCCAACAGAUUUGCCAUGGUAAUUUCGAGAAGAUGACUCAGCACUUUAUCCACAUCAUUCUCAGCCAGUUGUGCGUGUACCAAAAAAUCCAACCUGAAAAGAAAAAUGAAAAAAGUGUGCUGAGGUGAGACGAAUCUACCCAAUAAAAAAAGAAGAGAGAAGAAGAAAAAAGGAGGAGAAUUUGUAUAAGAAAGAGACUAGUUACAACAAUCCUCUCUCUGCACAGAGAAAAACUCCAUUGGAUAAUUCCAGAGAAAUAAAGGGUAGCAGCUACAGAGAGCAGAAUAUAGACGUGUAGAAGGGAAAGAGACAUCUAUCCUGGAUUCACAUACGAUUGGAAGAUAAAAGAGAAUCUAGAGUGUGGCGAGAAAUCCUGCAGUUAUGCCUUUAGUUUUCCUGAUUUUUGUUAUUCAAAAUUCUUUAAAUGUUGAUGAAUGAUUUAAUUUUGGUGUUUACUUUUCCACCCAUGAACUAAAUCUUUUCUGGGUUGGAGUUAUUUGGGUAGAUGUUUAUCAUCUUUAAUUUUCAUGAUUUGAGAUUGCUUGUAUCUUUUUUCAUUCGUUUAUGCAUAUUUUAAAUACAUGCAUGCAAGCUCUAGACAUAGUUGAUUGUAUGUUGUGUUCAUAGAUGUAUUUUUAAUUCUGAAAAGGUUAAAUAUACUGGAUCUAUAAUUUUUUUAUGCAAGCGAAUAUUCGACUAAAUAUUCGUAGCACUCUAGACAUAGAUGUUGCGAGUUGUGCAGAGAAGAACGUUCAUUGCAGUUAUUAAUCCAGAGUUCUAUAGACAUACAAUAACUUAGAUUUUAAGCUUUAAACCUAGCUAUUGAAAGAGGCAGGUUACAGUAGUAACUCUCUAAGCAAUCAAUUAGACAAUAUUUUGCCAUGACAUUAUUUUGAUAUGAGGAUUUCACCUGAAUAAUUCCAGCCAUAUUCAUUUAACAACAGAAUUACUCUUGCUUUUCUCUAUAAUUUGCCACAACAUUUUAUUUGCCAUAUCAAUUCUUUGCUUUUAACAUUAAAUUACAUUAAUUCAUUUUACCAAUAUCUUAUUCAAUUUAAGAGUAUUUCCUUCUAUUUAGUAUAGUUAAUAGGAUUAUAAUAACUUAAUCAAUCUUAUACCAAUUUUAGAUCCCUUUGGAUACGAUACUUACUUAUCACUUUAUUACUUGAAUGAUGUGUACACUUGCACAAUUGCAUUAGGUAUUUAUACGCAACAAGUUUUUGGUGCCAUUGCCGGGGAUCGACAACAUUGGUGAAAAGUUGAUUUGUUAUUAUUCUUGUAAUUUUUGUUAGAAUAGUUAAUUAGUAUUUUAUUUGAUUUUUCAGGUUUUGUACUAGUGCAUGAGAAGAAGUAUUCAAGAGGAUACAAAAUACUUUUUUGAUCCUAAGAUUGAAAGGAAAGUAAGGCGAAGGAGGUAAGCAUUAAGGGAAAUGAAGAGGAUUAUAAAUGAUCCAUUCAGAGAAUAUCAUGUACUCUAGAAUGAAAGGAAUGCUGAUAUUCCUCGAAUCUUAGAUGACAGAGAUAGACCCAUCAGAAAACAUGUAGUGCCUAAUUUGGGUGAUCUAAGUCCAGGAAUUGUUAGGCCACAUAUUCAAGCUCAACACUUUGAAUUAAAACCAGUAAUGUUUCAGAUGCUGCAGAUGGUAGGACAGUUUAGUAGUUUAACAACUAAAGAUCCCAGAUUGCACUUGAGACUUUUUCUUAAAGUCUGUAACUCAUUCAGGCAGUAGGCUAUUCCUGAAGAUGCCCUCAGAUUAAAAUUAUACCCUUAUUCAUUGCGAGAUCAUGCUAGAUCAUGGUUGAAUGCAUUACCAUCAAGUACGGUGGCGUCUUGGAAUGAACUGUGUCAUAUAUUUUUGCUUAGGUACAAUCCUCCCAACAUGAAUGUCAAGCUGAGGAAUGACAUUACAUCGUUCAGGAAAUCUGAAGAUGAGACAUAAUACGAAGCAUGGAAGCAUUUUAAGGAUUUAAUUAGAAAAUGCCCAAUGCAUGGUUCUCAACAUUGGACAAAAAUGGAAAUUUUCUACAAGGGAUUAAAUGCUCAUACAUGAAUUAUAGUGGAUGCAUUUGCUAAUGGGACGUUGCUUGACAAAUCCUACAAUGAAGCAUAUGAAAUUUUGGAAAGAAUAGCCAACAAUGAUUAUCAGUACUCCACUACAAUGAAGAGUUGGUACUGGUAGAAUAGCAAACAUUUGAGGAACGCCAACACUUAAACUAGGUAGUUUCUUCUCUUAUCUAUUAGGCGCACAUUAGGGACAAUGUGCCAAAUAAAGUGUAAGGUAACAUAGAAAUUUUCAUAAUUUUUCAAAAAAAUUCUAAUUUCUUAUGUUUUUAUUAGUUGUUUUCGUUAAUUUUUGUUUUGUAUGUUUGUUUGUGCGUGAGCUUAUAGCAUACAAGUGAUUGGAUAGAAACAUGUAAAUAGGAUUCUGUGUUUGAAUUGUAAAUAUAAGUCGAUGGCAAUCGACUUUAGGUUGUUUAAUAUUACACUAAUUAGUUCAUUCUGUUACACUGUGAAUAGGUGAUAGUGUGUUAGGUAUACCAAAUGACAAAUAGGUACAUAAAAAGCAUAUGUGUUUGUUUGAAUAAUAAGUGUUAGAGUGUUAAUAUUUAGUUAAUUGUAAUCCAUGAAUUGAUAAAAUUAGGGAUGACCUAAGGCAUUGUUUGGCAGAAAAAUUUUGAUCUAAAAUGCCGACCUUGAUUUAAAAUCCCUAAUACCCUAUUUUUUAGCCUAAAACUCUAUUUCUUGAUGAACUGCAAUGGAAGCCCUAAGCCUUAAAUAUAAUCUCUUGAUCCGAUUUUCAUCUUCCUUGCAUGAACUUAGACUUCAGGCCAUCGAUAUUAAGGGUUAGGUAGAGACGACAAGGUAGUUUUCAAAAUAAAAGGAAAAUAAAAGUGAACCCAAGGGAUAGUAUAGUAUGGUGAGUAUAAAAGUCUUGCAAACUUGUACGUAAAUAGAAAAAUAGAAAAAAAUUAUCAAAAGAAAAAGUUUGAAAAGGCUAAAAUAGCCAAGCGACAAGUUCUCGAGAAAAUAGGAAAGCAAAGUGAGUGAAAAAGAAAGAAAAGAAAAUUUCCUCAUUGUUUUGCACAAAUAGCUCGCUAAGACGAUUGUAUUCACUAAUAUUGUACUAUACCUUAGGAAUCAGAGAGAAAAGGUAGGUGAGAGAAGGGGAUAUAAAGUGGUGAACUAAAGGGGUUAAUCGGGAAAGUAUUGGGGUCAAUAUAAUUUUCCAAACUAUUUUCAUGCUUAAAUCGUUUUGUUGUGUCUGUCCUUUAAUUCCAAAUCAACCUAAGUUGUAGAACGUUACAAGCCAAAAAGACCUGGGUGACCUAGGUGAUACUAUUCGUGGAUGAAGAUUAGCCAAAUUUUGACAUUUCUAGUUACUUGUAUUCUUCGAGCAUGAAUGUAAAUUUUUUGUACCUAUUUCGAUGGAUCAAUGUGCUUACAUUCUUCAAUUUGUUUCCUUUGUAAUUUUAUGAACAAAUGUUUGUGAUAUUGAAGGUAAGGAGUAAAUUUAAUAUCGUGUUAGAGUUACGUAUUUAUUCACAAUGUUCUGUGUACAUAGCUCUAAACUAGUCUUUGUAUAUGACAUGCUCAAGCACUAUUUGGUUGUUUUAUUUUUCUUGUUUGUGUGUGUUUUUAUUUUGUUUCUUGAGGACAAAAAAUAACUUAAGUGUAGGGGAGUUUGAUCUGCCACAAUUCGUUGUGGCAAAUUAAUGUCUUUCUGGCACUUAACGAGUUUGUUUCUAGUAUUUUUAUAUGUUUUUGGUUUUUAUUGAUUUAUGUUUAAUAGAUGAAAAAUAAGCAUUUUUACGCAAUUUUGAGUUAUGUUAUGAUCUAAUGGGCCACUACAGGCCUAGGGAUGAUUUAAUGGCUCUAUUUAGUGUUUAGGACACUGUUUUCGGGCUUAAAAGACGAAAGAUGAGUGCAACGUCACGACACUAGUCCUGUGGUGUCGUGACACUGGGUAAAGAUUAGGAAAAUUAAGCAUGGGUAUUUUUGUCCACACAAUGAACUAUAAUCAGAUUUUUUGGUUGUUUGGCAACCCUAAUUAGGUUAGAUCAUAAACUUUCUAAAUAGGCAUGUUUAGCCUCAUUUUAAGAGGCCAGGCCAAGUGAGCCACUUAGUUAGUUUUAGGGUUUUAGUUUAGUUUUUAUUUUAUUUCAAUUUAGUCCUUUAGACAACUUAUGUUCUUGUUUAACUUUGAUUUGAUUCCGAUCCAAGCUUUUGGUUUAGAAAUUUUUCUUUAUUUCUUUGUGGAUUCCAAUUGCAAUUGGAGUGAUCUUUGUGACUGUUAAAGGAAAUUUCGCUUCCUAAAACGAAUUGAUAUCAAAACGGAUUUAUUUUCCUAUUCCCUUGUUUUAUUUAAUUUAUUGCUUUGUAUGUUUAAUAUGAGUUUGGGGAUUAUUGUUGUAACAGCCCGAUUUUGAUCCUAAUCGGAACGGUGGUUUCGGGACCACGAAUCUGAGUUAGAAAAAUAUUUUAAAAUUAUUUUCUGUGUUUAUUAUGUAUGAAUUUACUUGUGUGAAAAUUUUGUGCUUUAAUUUUGUCGUUUGAGUGUCCGAUUAAAUAAAAGGAUUAAAUCGCGUAAAAUAAAAAUUUAGUGGUUAUUUCUAAAAGGGCCGAAUAGUGGUUGUUCUUUAAAUAUGGGGGUUUUAUGUUGCACUUUGACCAUUGAAAAGAUAAUGGACAGCAUUGUGUUUAUAAUAUAUAGUUUUUAUAUUAUUUAUAAAGGUUAUAAUAAUAAUUUAUAUAUUACAAUGUUAUUAUAAUAAAAACAAAACAUAAGAAAGUGGUCAUUUUCAUUAUAUUUGUGCCGAAUGAAAAGAGAAAGAAAAUAAGAAAACCAAGCUAGGUAUUCGGCCCUUGUUCAAGAAAAUUAAUGUAUGUUUCGGUUUCGAUUUUUGAUGAUUUUUAUGUUUUUGAGAUCGUUGCUUCGAAUACUACCCGACCCAUGCUUCAAUUUUUUAUUUUGAUGAAUAUUUUGAGUUAUGCCAUUGAUGAAUAAUUGUGUUUUGUGAUAUUUGAUGAUGAAUUAUUGAAGAUAUGUUUUGGGUUAGUAUGUUUUGUAUUGGAAAUUUUGAUGAAUUUGAGUAAUUAGAGCUAAAUUGCAAAAAUAAUAAAUUGAGGGACUAAAAUGUAAAAUAAAUGAAUUUUGUGAGCUUGCAUGGGAAUAAUGAAUAUUCGGCCAAAGCUUGGUAUGUGUAAAUUUUGUAUGUUUUGUGUUUUAUGCAAAUUGGACUAAAUUGUAAAAAGUAUAAAAUAUCAGGGGUAAAAUAGUAAUUUUCUCCUUUAUGUGUUUUUGGGUUAGAUUGAAUGAAAUUGUGUUUAAAUGAGCUUAAUUUGAAAUUGUAUAGAUCAAGAACAAAAGAAAUCAGACUUGGAUCGGGGGGAAAAAUAGUAGUUGAAUAGUCGUUUUAUAUACCCGUCGAUAUCCGAGGUAAGUCUAUAAGCAUCUAUAUAUAUUGUUUAUUUUAAUUAAAUAUGAAUUUUAUACGCUGAAAGGAAAUAUGUGAAAUUAUACAUGUGUUAAUCAAAUGAAAAUAAGCUUGGAAGCUAUGUUUAUGAAUUCGUUUCGACCGAGUUACGACAUCCGAAAGGCUCGUACGAACCUUAGGAAUAGCUAGGAUACAUAUGUCAUGACAUAGGAUUUUUGAUAUGUGUUCUCGUGUAAGACCACGUCUGGGACGAUGGCAUCGAUAUAUGUGAUUACGUGUAAGACCAUGUCUAGGACAUUGGCAUCGUAUUUGAUUCGUGUAAGACCUUGUCUGGGACAGUGGCAUCGAUAUGAGAUAGCAUGUAAGACCACAUCUGGGACGUUGGCAUUGUUCGAUAUAUGUGAUUAUUCGAGUAUCCUAUUAAAUUCCGAAUGGUUUAGCGGGCAAUGAUAAGUUGUGAUUAAAGGUGUAAAACGAGCUAAAACGAUCAGGUAUGAGUUACUUGACUACCUAUUUAAAAAUACGGUAAGUUGGCCAAUUGGUAUGUGAUAUAAAUUAUAUAAGUUACUAAUGUGAACAUAUGUAUAUUGGUGAAGUAUAUUCGGCCAUGUGUUAUGUAUAUGCAUAUGAUGUUAUAUUUUGGUUCAAAAUUAUAUGUAUAUGUGUGUAAAUAUAUAUUCGGAUAUAUAAUGAUAUUAUGUCUCUGAAUUGAAUGACACUUCGAAUAUAUAUACAUGUACAUUCGGUUAAGAUAAGAUUUAUUUAAGAAAACACAUGUUUUAUAUGAAAUGUUAAGCUUGAGGUUAAAUGUGAUUAUGCUAGUAUAAUUUAAUUUGGUUAAAAAUGAGUUGAUAAUGUAGUUUAUAUUCGGUCAAAAUAGAUAUGUAAUAAUAAGGUUAAAAAUGAGAGUUGCACAUGUGAAUGACAUUAUAUAUAUAUUCGGCCAAAUGUUAAACUUAUGUGUAUUCGGUUAAAUAUGGAUUUGAUGUAUAGUAUGUGUUUGAUAAAUGUAUUUUUCGAUUAUGGAAAUGGAUAUGAAUAUUGAAAACAUUAUUUGAUUUUGUUGUAACUAAUUAAAUGUUGUUAAGUUAUUUAAUUGCUCAUGACUUGCUAAGCUGUAAUAGCUUACUCUGUGUGUGUUUUUUCCUAUACUUUUUUAGAGUUCCAAAGACUUGCUCGGGUUGGAAGUCAUUGGAGUCGUCAUCACACUAUUCGGUUAUCGUUUUGGUUAAUUAAGGCUUUGAGUUUUUGGUUAUGUGACAUGUAUAGGCUAGUUUUAAUUUAGUUGUUGUAUAUAUAUUUUUAGCCAUGCGAAAAUGGCUUGAUCUAAUGCAAAUGAUUCGAGGUUUAAGUAAUUUUGGUCAUAGUAAAGGGGUGGGGUAUGCUUAGUAUUUGAAUUUGGUAAGACGUAAUGAUAUAUAUAUGGUUUAUAAUUAUUUUAUUUUGGUAAGCAUGAUAUGGAUGAUGGAUGUGUUAUGGUUGUGGUUGUGGUUUAUUAAUGAUGCUAAUGAUAGUGAUUUUCGGUAUUGUAUUAGCUUAAUUUGUAAGUAUGAAUUAUGGUCUAAUUUGUGUGAUGAAAUGGUAUUGAGAUUUGGCUUGAUUAAAUAGGUAAAAUACGAUAUAUAUUGAAGAUGACAUAAUGGUUAUUUCGAUUUAUGUGAUGUAAAUAUAGGUGAUGGUCAUAAUCUAGUUUGUGAUUCGGCAUUGGUGAUCAAAUCAUGUAGUUAAGUAUUUAGUUAUAUGUUAAUUUUGAAUUUGGUUGUAUUCAUUAUGUAUGGACUAUGUUAUGCUAUGAAUAUUUGGUAAAUUGAAAUGAUUAAUUUGAGUAAAUUUAUAAUGGCAUGAGUACAUUGGUGAAAUGGAUUGAAAAUGGAAAUUUAUAUAUUAUUAUUUAUAUUUAAUUGAUGAAAUGUAAACAAAUAUAUAUGUCUUUGAUAAGUUAAUUUGAAUGAUCGAAUAUAUAUAUAAUAAAUUGAUUUAAGUGUGUAUAUGAAAUUUUGACAUGAUUUAUACUGUAUGGAAUUGGCACGUUUUGAAUUGGUUUUGCAUGUAUUUUAGGCUUAAUAAUUAGCAUGUGAAUUGGGUAUAAAUUGUUUGGUUAGUUUGCUAGCUGAAUAGAAGAUAAGAUGAAUGGCAAAGCAUACAAAUGUUUUGUACUUAAAUGGGAAGUUAGGCAUGUAUGUUUUAUUAGUUGAGUUUUAAAAAAAAUGGUGUAUAUUUUAUAAGGUUAAAUGCAUUUGUGGCUAAGAUGUUUAUAUGCUAAACUUGACUAUUUGGUGAAAGUGAUUGUGCUGCAUUUUCUAAUGGACAAUAAGCCGAGCAAUAUGGAUUGUUUGGUUUUAUGCACAUGAAUAGAAAUAUGAAUUAAUAUGUUUGAUAUUCAGCUUAAGAAGUAAAAAAAAAAUGCUUGGAUGUCUUAAUGUAUGCGUAUGAAAUUUGUAAUGUGAUGAGUCAUCUUAUAAUUUGAUUUUUGAAUGAUAUGAGUAAGAAGUAUAUAUGUUUUGAAUGGUAGGAUUUUAAAGCAUGUGUAAUAUGACUAUUUUGAGCCGUGUUUUUUUUUAUGGUAAUGCCUUGUAACCCUAUUUCGGCGACGGAUAUGGGUUAUAGGUGUUACAAUUGCAUCUAGAUCCAUGAAUAGCUAAUUUCCUUAGGGAGAUUAACGAACGAAUGUGUGAUUAAUUAACAAAUAAAUUAGGGUUUAAAUCUAAGUUUGUUGGUUUAAAUUAUGUGCGAUUAAACCCUAGAAAGUGAUUCUCUUAUGAAGUAAUUUAGGAUAAACAAGAUCGAGAGAUAAGUUUACCGAGAAAAUCAUAAUUUAUCCCGGUCAAGAAAGUGAAGCCAAGAGGUAAGUGUGUAUUGGUUGAUUAGUUAAUUAGUUAGAUCCCAAGAGGUAAUAACUGGUUAAUUAAUAGCUAACUUAAUAAAACCUGAGUUCUAAAUUUAAUUAGGAACACUGAAGUGAGUUAAUCUCCUACCUCUUUUUUAGAUUUUAUUUUGAUUGUUAAUUGGUCAUUUUUCUUUUAGAUACUUUUAUAUUACUUUAAUUAAUUUAUUUUAAUUUAGUUUUUCAUAAUAUAAUUUUAAAUUAAUACUACUAGUGUAGAAAAUGAAGUUACAUUUAAUUCAACCUUCCUUGGGUACGAUCCUCGGAAUGAUUCCCGGAGUGUUUCAUUGUAACAUUCUUUACUAUAUUACAAUUUGACAUGUACGCUUGCAAACACUAUUGUUUAAUUAUAUGUUUAUUUAUUGCAAUAUUUCCAACCUAGAUUUCUGCACAUCUGGUGAUGGUCAAUGUCGCAACACAACCCUGAAUGAAAACCAAAAGAGCAAACUGUCGUCAGUGUCGUGUGAGGGUAUUGCAACACAGUUGUGACAAGGCCACUUAAAGGGGAAAGGGUGUUUUCAUCUGUACAACUCAACUUAAUGAUGUUUAGUCAGUCGUAUUAGGUCAAAAUGAGGCAGCUAGCCUUGAUCCUAUAAAUACCAUUACUCAUAACUGUUUAAGGGACUUUUUUUCCUUCCAUUUUUUACUUCUAUUCUUAGUUUUUAGGGUCUUAGUUUUAUUUUUUUAUUUUUGUUCUUGUUUUGUUCAUUCAAUUGAUUCAAAUUGUGGAUCACUUAGAUUCUGUCAAGGAUUGCACUUCAAGUCACCAAUACGAUCUUCAGAAUCUUUUUAUUUCUCUUUACUUGUUUUGCAAUAUUUAUAUGUUUCAAUUAAAAACUAUGAUGAUGUUUGAUAGAUCUAUGUGUAACUAAAAUCCUGAGGAGAUUAACAAGCAGAUGUGGUAAUAGUUAACAAUUAUUUAAGGAUUUCUUAGUGGAUCAAUUGGUUUGGGAAAAGAGAACAUAAACCCUAGGAUUGAUGACCCUAAGAAGUUAUCUAAGUAGAGAGGAAUCUAAGAGGAGAAGUCUACUGGGCACCCCUUAACCUAACCCGGUCUAACCUGUGACAUCGAGAGAUAAGUAGUGUUUGCCGACUCAUUAGAUUAGUAAAAGGCCGAGAGGCCCUGCUAGAUUAAUGACUAGCUGAUUGAAUAGAACCUGAAAUAGAAAUUAACUAUGAAUACUGAAGCGAGUAAGUGUUCUGCCUUUAGAAUCUGAUAAAUCCAUAAUUUGUUCCUCUCGAUAUUAUAUAUCUUUGCAUUGUUCUUAUUUUCACUUCUUUUAUGAAUAAUAAUAUAAUUAGGAUUAAGUACUAUUUAGACCUAUUAGCAUAGAAGUUAGUGUUAAUUUAAUCAAACCUCCUUUGGGUACGAUCCUCAAAAUACUUCUAUGUUCCGUUGUAACUUCUAUAUUACGACCUGCCCCGUAUACUUGCAAACAUUGCCUUAGUUCUUGUUUGUAGUUGCAGUAUUCUCACUUUCGAUGUUAGUACAUCGGGAGGCGGUCAAUUAUAUAACUGAAUCGACCCUUAGGGCUCAUAAUAACCAAUUCAUAUGCCACCAUUUAUUGCUUAAACAACAAGUUACAAUUGUAUAAUUUCAAUAUCUAAUGUCGAUAAGUGAAUUACAUGUUUUCAUAAUCCCUAUUAACCGAACAUGGAAUCAAGACGGAUAUAUGAUCAUUCAAUCAUCACACUUGUAGCAGGCCCAAUUAGCCCGGGCCUGUACUAAAUAAACCAAACCUAAAAAUAUAGUAGUCCAUUAACAAUUCAAUAGUCCAAAAUUAGAACCCAAAUUGAACCCAAUCAAGCCCUAAGUCCUAGCCCAAAUCAAAUUUAACCCUAUCCCAACAAAAGUCAGUAAACAAAAAACCUUAGGUGCGCCGCACCUAGGUCUUCUGGCCUUGCUGUUGCCGCCGUUCGUCGCACGUUCCAUCCGCACAUCGCACGCCACCACCACCAUAGCCUCCUCCAUGCGCGUCAGACCACCUGCAAGAGAAAACCACACGCAACAACAGAAACAAAAACAAUAAACAAAUAGAAAAACGAAAAAAAAUAAUGAUUAAGGAGUUUGUAAUCCGGCUAUAAAAGCCCUAAUCUAUGACUUGUAUUUUUUUUACGAACAUUAAUAUAAACAACAAAAUCAAAACAGAUUUAAAAAGGUGACUUUUUUUUCCUUGUUGGUUUGAUUCUCUUUUUCUAUCUUUUUUUUUACGUAUUAAGUAUUAAAGAACAAAAAGGGGGAAAAAGGAACUCACCGGAGAUGGUCGUGGCUGCACCGUCGGAGGGUCUCUCCUCCGUCACUCGAUUCGGGUCAAAAAGGGUCGAUGGUCUCCCCUUUGUUUAUUUCUCACGGGUUAAGAGAGCUUGGCUCUCAAAGAUGCCGCAACGAGGGCUAAAAGGCCUUCCUUUCCCGACGCCGACUGCCGACCACGAGGCAGCGCGACAAAAGCCGAAGAAGGCCAUCGGCCGAAUGUGAGGAGGAGGGGUUGAGAGAGUUUGAGAGACCCUCAGUUUUUUUUUUUUGAAAAUAAAGGGUGAAAUGUUUUUUUGUGUUUUUCUUGCUAUUUAUAUGGGGUCAAUACGGCGCCGUUUUGGACCUUAGCAUCAGUGGCCAAAAUGACGCCGUUUUACUUAGGACCCGAAUACCCGACCCGCCUUGAUAAGAUCCGCGUGUUUUCUAAUUUGAGGGGUUAUUUGCGCACGCGGUCCCUCCGUUAUUACAACAUAGCGCAAUCUGAUCCUUUGUUAGUUUUUUUUAUUUUGGCCACGAAAUUUUAUUUCUGUUUCAAUCUGGUCCUUAGGCCAUGUGCAGUCCCUUGGUUAAACGCCGCGUUUUAGGAUUGGGAAAUAUUUCCCUGAAAGUCCCUCGCGCUGUAGAAGCGUUUCAUUUCAAUUCCUUGGCAAUCUUGUUUUUAUUUAUUUGCGAAUUAAACCCUUGAUUUUGGGCCCGAUUUUAAUUUCAUCCUUAUUCCAUUUAAUUAAUUUACUAUUCAUUUUUUAAAAAAAUAAUUAAUUUAUUAUUUUAAAAAAAUGGGGGGCUCUUCUUUUAUUAUUUAUUUUAAGUUUUACAUAUAUUAAUAUUUUAUGCCUUACCUAAUAUUUACUUAAGUUUUUAUUUACAUUAUUUGUUUUAAAUUACCAUAAAUAUAUACAUCGUCUUUUAAAUUUUUAUACAUAUAUUUUUAAUAAAGAAAGAGUAUUGUUUGUUUUGUAUUUUUAACUUUCUUAGUUUUCUCUUUCAUUUUAAGUUUUAUAUAUUGUUUGUUUGAGAUAUUUUACCAUUCAUUCCAAACUAAUCUUAUAAAUCACUUGUUUUAUACUAUUAGUUAUAUAAAAUUGUUCUCUAUUAUUUCGUUUCGUACUUGGAUUGUUAAUAUUGGCAUGUUAAAUUGUUGCAUGUGGUGUGAUUAUUAUCAUUAUGUACGUUGUAAUUAGUUUAUCUGUUUUCGCAUUAUUGCCAUUCAUUAACAUGAUACUUUAUUCGUAAAUUGUCAUAUCAUGUUCUAUAUUAUCGUUUCAUUUCAUUUCAUCACUUCAAAAGUUAUGUUUGAUUUGUACAUACCCAUAAUAAACCGUUUUAUUUUAUCACAAAGAAAAUAAAUGCAACAUCGCUCAAGUAUUGUAUUCGCAUUAUUCAAAAAAGGGAAAAGUUUUAAAAUAAGGCAAUGUUUCGUGUUUUGGGAGAUUUAAGAAAUUGUACUCUAACUUACGCGAUUUCAAUUUUCUCGUUAAACCUAAAUAGCAAAAUAUCCUUUUAAAUUCCAAAAUAUACGAAAUUUCAAUAAAAAAUCAAAAGCAAGCUUGUUCUCUAAGGUUCCCAAAUAUCAUGUCCUAACUUACGGGACGUGACAUUUCAUUACCUCGAGACAAGUAGGUCUUUAACUUCCUUUUCGAUUUAUUCAAGCGUUUUUAAUAACAUUAAUAAAAAAGGGAUCGUAUCUUAAAUUUCCUUUCAAAUUUUUAACUUUCAGCAUUAAGACAUUAAGUAAUUAACUAGGUAUCAAUUUUGGGCGCGUCAAGAGUGCUAACCCUUCCUAGUGUUUAACUGACUCCUGAACCCGUUUUCUAGAUUUUGUAGACCAAAAAUGAUCGUUUUAGUAAAUUUAAAAUUUUAUUAAAAUGGUUACAUCACGAGCUGAUCCGAUCACACCUAAAUAAAAAAAGAUUGGUGGCGACUCCCAUGUUCGUUUCUGUUUUCAAAAUUAAAGUCGACUCCUUUUACAAAAAAAAUAAAAAAAUGGUUUCGACAACACCAAUAUAUCCAACACCUAGUGCCUCAUCAAAUCUGAAGUAUAAUAUGCGUUCUGUACCUCGUCUGUAUAAGACGAAGUAUAUAAAUAUGUCUAGCACUUUACUAGAACAUCUGACGUAUAAUAUGCACACCGCGCCUCAUCGGUAUAAACCAAAAUAUAAUCUCGUAUACUAAUCUUAUGACAUGUCAACUAUACUCGACUCUACUCGAGAUGUUAAUAGGGUAUCCAAUAUUUUUAUUAGUGUAUAAGGUUCACAUAACAUAGUUUAAUACAUAUAAAUUCAUAUCAUACUCAAAUCAAUUCAUACAAUUCCAUAUCAUCAUUUGCAUAUCAUCACAUUUUUCACAAUUUAUCAACUAUUUCAUACUUACCUAUUCAUGAGACAAGUAAGUUCAUACCUUAUUUAGGCUAAUUGCAACAAUCCAUAUAUGAUAUUUUAAAUUUAAAUCAUGAAAGCACAAACCGAGAUAGCUACUCGCCUACGACCCUCGCAUUUCCUUUAUCUCGAGACAACCUGGUGUCGUCUUUAGCUAUGUACGAUAAUUCAAUUAUAAAAAUAGUAUUUGUUUUCACCCAAUCACAUGAAAAAUACAUAAUUGAACAUAGUUUUCAUUUUAUUCAUUUUAGUCCUUAUAUCUUAUAUGCUCAUAUUUUUCAAUAUUUAACAUUGGAUCAAAAUCAAAUUUCAUAUUCUUUCAUUAGGGACCUUUUACUUUUAAUCAAUAGCAUAAUUUCUUAACAACUUUCAAUUUAUUCAAUUUAGUCUCUAAUAUCAAAGUUAACUAAACCUUUAAUUCUAAGCUAAUUUCACUACCUUUUAAUACAAUCUUAACCAAAUCUAAGCUUAACAAUCACAUAUUCAUCAUUUUAAAGCUUGAAUUUAACAAAACUCUUUCAUGGUAACAUAAUACAUAUUGAUAAUUUCAUAAUCUACUAAAUGGGUUUUCUAGCUUAAGUUCUAAGGACAAAAAAUAUAUAAAAUUCUUUAAGAAAACAUCAAUUUUAGACCAAAAUGUAAAAGAAGCAAAAGGAAAUUUUCUUCCUUCUUGAAGCUAGGGACGGCUCAAUUGAGAAGAAAAUAUGAAUCUUUUUCAUCUCUCCAGCCAACUUUUUUAACACCCCAUACCUGAUCCAGUCGCUGGACAUGAGUUACAAGAUGUCACAAUAGUAAACCGAAACAUUUAUAUGCAAUAUGUAUCAACAACAUUCAAUAAAUGAAAAUGUACAAGUUAAGUUCAUAUUAAACAUGCAUUACAAUCAAAAUUAAGCUCAAUCAAUCUUACAAAAGCUUUUAAACAAGUUCGAACUAAAUCGAGACCAAUCUGAAACAUUUACAAAAUAAUAGAUAAAAAGUUAAAACAGGGGUCACGCGGCCGUGUGUUCAAGCUGUGUGACAAGGUUGAGGUCGUGUGGGGCUAUCACACAAUCGUGUCUCCAAACUGUGCAACAAUUUGAUGUUGUGUAAUCUAAGGUGACACGGCUGUGUCACCAGGCCGUGUAGCAGACUGUGAUCUGUGAACUAAAAACCACCCUGACUGUGUUGAACACAUGACCGUGUCAUCCAAUCAUGUGAGACACACGACCAUGUGGUUGCCCGUGUGCAACAAAAAUAACCUAUUUGGGCAAGUUUUCAUACCACUCCUUCAAGUGACCUAUAAUGUCAUUUCGUUCUAUUCAAACCAACACCAAAGCAUGCAUUUCCAAGUCAAAACACCAAUUGACCUAACCAUUUUAACAUACAACCAAUAUGCCCUCAUUAGAACCAACAAUUAAAUAAACUCAAUUCGUGUUUCAAACAUUUCAUAUCACAACUCAAUCAGACCAAACACAAGCAUAUACUUAACAUGACCAAAGUCUAAAGCCAUUUCAUACCACCAUCAUAAACAUAUGUAUAAUGCCAUUCAAACUACCAGACUUGACAUAUACCAAAAAUCCAAUAACCAACCACAAACAUAGGUUUAUAUAUAUAAGGUUAUUACUCCAAAUUUCACAUUAUCUUACACAAGAUAAUCCAACCUAAGUACAUGCCACAAGUAACCAAAAUGAAAUAUCAAAAGUCUAUUGAAUCGAGAGAUGGUAGGUGUGAGCUUCUCGCUGAUCUGAUCGACACGUUCCGGACGUCCAAAAAUCUACAGAAAAGUAGUAAUACUAGUAAGUAUUUAAAAUACUUACGAAGCUCAUACAAUAUAAACAUUUACUAACCUUAAUCACUUAACAUAAUAUACAAUUCAUUAUGCAAUUCAAAUAUAUCUAUCAAGAUUCAAACAACAACGUCAAUUUAUAAGAUUUUGAUCAACCACGUAUAUAACCUCAAAUGUUCUCAAUUUUAUUUCAAUUUAACUUAUCACUUGUAUGCAAUUCGUAUGCAUAACUUAGUCAACAUUCAAUGGCACAAAAUAUCUUUUUAUUCACAAUAAUACCCGAUGAAACUUCGUAAAAGAAAUUUGUACACAGGUGAAAGUAAUAGUGCCCGGUUACCCGUUUGGGUUAAACCUACACGAAUAAUGAAUCAUAGUGUCAGGUCACCUGUAAGGGUUGAACCUAUACAAAUCGAAUAAUAGUGCCUGGUCACCCAUUAAGGUUGAACCUACACAACAAAUUGUCUGGCUAGGGCUUAAUUAACCUAUAUUCUUGAGUCCGCAACACAUGCUAGAGCUCAGAACCUAUAGACAGUAACCCGUAACCUCAUAUACGAGACUUUUACUAAUUUCAUCAGGAUUAAUCUCAUGUUAUAACACAAUUCCAAUCAACAACAAUAGUUAUCACUAAAACAAGUAUAACACAUUAGUAUUAGAAAUUUAAAUUAUAUCUUAUGAACUUACCUAACAAAGCGAUAAUGCUUUAGAUAAUAGAUACUAUUCGGUAGUUUUUUUCUUUUUCACCUAAGUCAACAACUUGAUCAAUGUAAUAGUUAAAAUUCAAAAUACCAAUACCAAUCUCAUGAUAACACCAAAAUUCAUAUUUAUAAUCUUUUAAUUUAGUUUUACAUAAUUUCCCUAAACUUUUAUAUUUUAUUCAAUUUAGUCCCUAAAACCGGAACAAGUAUAACUUUCACAAUUGAGCUUCAUCUUUUUCAUUCUAAUUUCAAUUAUGUCUUUCUACAGCCCUAAAAAUCCAAAUUUAAAGGAAUUAAGUGUCACUUUUAACAUAUUCACAAUUUAGUCCCUAAAUGCAAAAUUAACAAAAAUUACUUUAUCAAGUAAUCCUUAAACAUUUUGUAGCUUCCAAAUCUACCAUUUUCUAUAAAAAAAAAGAACAUCUAAAAUUCAUCAAUGGCAAGUUUUAAAAUCUUUAACAGUUUUAAAAACAGAAAUACGAGUUACCUAGACCUAGUUGCAACGAUAUCAAAAAUAUAAAAUUUAUGAAAAGCGAACUACAAUAACAUACCAUGCAAAUCUUGGCUGAAGCUUAAGUUUUCUCUUCCAUGGAUAAUCGGUGGUGAAAGGAAGAUGAUAAUGUCUUUACCCUCUUUUUUUGUUU
rnacentral:lncRNA from 1 species